AAGAUAAAAUCUUUAUUCAAUCUUUCCUUUUUCCUUUUUCCUAUUUAUUUAAGCUAAAUCCACUUGCCCAGAAGGAAGAUAAUUGAAGCUAAGAGGUUCUGUAGUUGGAAACGAUAAUUAAAGGAGAAAACAGGCGCUGUAUUACAGUGCUCAAAUUAAAAAAAAUUAAUAAUUAUCAAAACGAUGUCGUUUCUAUUAAUUUUUGGGGCUUGACCCGAGGUAAAUAACAUCGCUCUUAUUGAAUUGGAGUGUAUUUUGUCGAUCACCACUGGUAAAAGUUGUUUUACUGAAGAUAUUUUAGGCGACUUUGUUCGUAUAUUUUUGCUAUGGUCUAUUUUGAUAUGAUGUCUUUCAGAACAAAGAAUCCAUAUAACUUAUCACUUGUGUAUGUUCAUUAAUCAUGCUGGGAUUAAUUUUAUAUUGUUACAGGAUAACAAUCAACAGCCUCGAAGGUGGUUAAAUUGUUUCUUGAUUGAAUUUGUUCCAUGGUUAGAUGUCGAUGAAAUUAGAGGCUUGUUUGCUCCACCACCUUGGGGUCAUGUUCUGCCUUAAUUUUCCCAUCUACAAUGCCAAAUGACUACUAUAUUUUAGCAAUACAUUUCUUUGUGUGUUUUUUGCUCAUUCAAGCACAUUGUGUUCUCAAGUUGCCAAAGGUAAGCAUUUACUAAGCAUACUACUUUGGUUAAGUUGUUCUAAUGUGAAAUUUGCUAACAUGGAAUGCAAGAGAAUGAAAUAAUAUCAUGUUUAUAUAAUUCUUUACAUUUACAAUAAAGUUCUCUUUCUUGUAUCAAGUUAUUAGUCGGUAUUGAGGUGAGCUGUAUGCAAUAUACAUGCUGUAGUGGUGGAGUGCAUAUUGAAUCUUAAUUUCUUAUUAAAACAUAAAGCUUUGGUGUUAAUUUAACAUGUAAUUUGCCUAAAUGCUCCAACUGCAGCAAUUUUUUGUUAGUGGUAGCCUAAUAUGAUUAAAGCCUUGAUUAGCUAGACUCUGAAGAGGAAAUGUCAUAUUGAUUAAUUUGCCCAGUUGUCAGGGCUCCCAUUUUUUGUGCAUAAAUAAGAUUGUGCAUUAUGUAAUGUACCAACUUCAUGUAACAUUGAUUGAGUGAAUUGUAAUUUUGUGUCUCAAUUAUUGUCUAUAAAAUUUGUUUGUUGACUGAUGAUUUUUGUUUAAUUGGGGUGUCUAUAAUCUGCCAGUGUACAAAAAAAUUAUUCGGUAUAAGUUAAGGAUUUCUUAAGAUACUUUGCUUGAAUUUAUUUAAAAGUAGUUGUUUUCAAGGGAUUAAUAGACAUUUUGUCAUUUCUUGUCUUCUAGUUGAUGAAUGUAUGCUGGAUAGAUGGCAAAACAAUUAUUCAAGUCAUUGGCAUUUUCGUAGAAUUUGAAGGGAUUUAUUUGAAUAAAUAGCUUGGUUGGUGGCUUUUCAGUUUCCUCUAGAAUUUAUUUUGGCUUUUACAAUAUUAUUUCUUAGUAUAUUAAAGCAUCCAGAACGAAUGUCGACAGUCGAAUAAAGUAGGAUCCUUCACUUUUAUUUUUAUUUUCAUUUUAAUAAUAGAUCUUGUAAGAAAAUUUCAAGCAAUAAAAGAAUGAAAAAAGGAGGAUGAGAGAAUUAGAUUUAUUUAAUGGAGUUAUUUACAUUCUAAAAAUUAUUCAAAAAACUCAUUUUUAAUUAAAAAUUUCUUUAAUUAAAAUAAUAAUAAAAUAAGUUACUAUUAAGAACAAUCCCAAAAAAGAAAAUUAAAAUAUCAUUCCUCUUUUUUUUUUAAAACUUAAAUCUAGUAUUUAUCUAACUUACUCUUCAUUAUAGAAUCUGUUAAUGCAGGUCGAAACUCAAAAAAGAUUUAAAUUUGUAGAUUAAGCAAUCUUGUAAUUUGAAUUUAUGAAAUUAAAAUAUUACGAUUGGACGUAUGGGAUUUUAUUUAUUUGUGAUAUUAUUUAAAGAUUAUUUGAUUGAAUUAUUUGCUUCUAUCUUUAUGAAAAAUUAUGAAAUUUUUUAAAACAUUUAUAAUAAAAAAAUAAUGUUAAAUUUCUAAAAUUUAAGAAUUUUAUAUUUAGUAUUAUUAUUAUUUUCAAAUAUAUAAUUUAAAUUAAUCACAAAAAAUACAAUACAACACUAAACAUAGUAUAACUAAAAAUCAAUACAUCAUAAUAUAACACAAAAUCUUGUGCAAUAUUAUUAUAAUAUUAUGCUAAUGCAAUAUAUUAUAAUAUAUUAUACCUACAUUAAAAUAAUGUAAUACAACAUAAGAUGAUACAGCAUAUCAAACACACCAUUAAGAUAUUGUAAUCACAUUCGCUCAUUUGUUAACCUGUAUAUGGAUCUACAAGUGCUUUUGGGCCAUUGCAUGGCUACAUGCAUUUGCCUCAUUUACACUCUAGGAUGGCAGAUAAUAUGAGUACAUGACAACUUGAGUCUUAAGGGUUCAACUAUUUUCGCUUUGAAGGCAGCACUCGUCUCAAACAACCAUAAUCGUUGAAUUCUAAGAAAUCAAAUCUGUCAGAGUGAUUUUAUCUUUUAAGGGUCUUUUUAAGUUACAGUUUGUAUAACUUAGACUCCAUACAAAAUCAUGCAGAUCUCGCCGUUUGUUAUUAUUUUUACAUAUUUUUGAGUAGAGUGUAAAUUACAGCGGCUAUAACUUGACAAUUACCUUUUUAUCAAAUACUUGUAUUUGCAAACCAAGUUUUCGCCCGGCUCUUGGUACAUUUAAUACUUUAAUUCAAAGAAUUUGGACAUAUGGAUCAAAGAUUCAAACAACGCAUAUGGGUUUUCAAGGUUUGGUCCAAAAGUUAGUUGAAAAAACAGAUUGGGCCCAGAAAUUGAUGGGCUUCUACUAUUUUUAAUUGUUGUUAUUGAGAAAUUGUUACUCUCCAUAGAUACAAACGUCUUGUUGUACAACUUAGAGAUUUGAGAGCAUUAAUUUGAAAAUAUACUCCCAUGGAUAAUAAAAGGGAACAUGCCUGCUCGAACCCACGCUCUUAACACCAUGGGCUUCUAUGCAGUAUGAUUUACACUGAUUUUACCUAAAUAGUUCUCUUAAAUAUUGCAAUUUUAAUUUUGGAUAGUUAAGCUUUUAGAACAAAUUAAAUUUGUUUCAACUUUUUUUUUAUAUGAAAAUUUUUUGUUUGGUUUCACUAUUAAUCAAUUCAGUUUUUUUAUUUAGAGAAAUUAUCAUUUUAUUACUAAAGUUAUUCUGACAUUUCAUAUCAGUACCAUGGUUUGCUGAAAAGUGUAUUUUACUACCAAACGUUUGCGCCAUUAUUAAUUCACUACCAUUCCGUUAAGAUAAAGUUAAUGUUUAACGAAAAUUGAGUUAAAAGUCGAUUUUAACCCCAAGAGUUUGGUAGUAAAAUGAUAAUUCCCCUAAAAACUUGGUAGGAAAAUGAUAAUUUAUCUAUCAAAUUAACAUAUAAUUUUACUCUUACAGUUGGAAAUGUCUCUGAUGCCCUUAUAACAUCAGCAAAUUUUUAACGUUCUUAACGAAAUGGUAGUGAAUUGAUAAUGACGCAAAUAUUUGAUAGUAAAAUACAUUUUUCGACAAACCAUGGUACUGGCAUGAAAUGUCAAAAUAACUUUUGUAGUAACAUGAUAAUAUCCCUUUUACUUAUAAAAUAUCAAACCAAAACUAAAAAAAUCAAGUUGGUUCAGUUCAGCCAAUCCCUAAACUCCACGUGGUAUUUUUAUUUAAAAAUUAUCUUUUUAGUUUUUGGUUUCGGUUUUUUGGAUUUAAAAUUUUAAACCAAAAAUGGAACCAAAAUAUUCGGCUCUAUUCCCAACCAAAUAUUCGGUUUUUUCUAAGGAAAAAAAAAAUCAAACUCAACCGCCAUAAAAACUGAACUGGACCGAAAAUUUUUUCGGAUCCAGUUCGAUUAUGCCGACCCUACAUAUAAACAUGGUAAAUUUGAUUCACUUCCCAUGUACUUGCCUCAAAAUACAUCAAUUUCCUUCACACUGAUAUUGGGAUAAAGAAUUUUUUAAUUUGUGUUUAUGUAUGGGGAUGGGAUGUGUUUGUAUAUACUACUUAUAUAAAUAACACUGGGAUGUGUUUGUAUAUACUAUUUGUGUAAAUAACACUCUAGGAAUAUAUUGUAACAACUGAAUUCAUACUGCAUGCAUUUGCAACUCUAUCAAUGGAUCAUUAUGUGAGCAUUCAAGUACUAAAAUUCUGAUAAAAGAGCUACCACUUAUUAUUUAUAUCUUUUAUUUAGCAUUAGCGGUUUUAAAGCUAUGAUAUUGAAAAAAAUAUUGAAAAGCUUGCUUUCUUUCAACAUUUAUGUACAUACAAUUUAUAGAUUUCAUUGAGGACCACAGCAUAUAUAAUAUUAUCCAUCAUAUCACAAAGGAAGCCAAAUCUAUAGCAGAGAAUCAUGAAAAAGGAACAAAGGUUCCUAAUAAUGACCGUGGAAAAAAUUUGCAGAAUUUUGCUAGGUCCCAAUGAUCGGGUCAUGCAAACCUUAGAUUCUAAUUACAAAUGGCAUGAUUAGCAAGUUUAGAAUAUCCUCAAUUCAGUGGGUUUCUGCCAACAAUUAAACUAAUCUACAUAAUUAAUUUUCAAUAGAUUGUGGGUGCGUUUGGGAUUGAGGUUGGGCAGCUGUAGCUUAAAAGCUACAGCACUAAAGUGUUUGGUAAACACUAGCUGCUGUAGCUUUUAAACUAUGUUGAUAUGAUUUUUCACUUGUAUAAUAUAAAAUUUAUUAUAUCUUUAAUAAUUUUAUUAAAAUUAUUAUUUAAAAUUUAUAUUUAUUAUAUAUUAUUAACUUUUGUUUUAUAAUUAUAAUUUUUUUUUCACAGCAGCUGUAGCUUAAAAGCUACAGCACCUCAAUCCCAAACGCACCAUGUACUUCCAAUAAUUUAACUAAACGAAGACAUGCAUUUUCGUUUUCACCAUAUAAUCUAUAGUCCGGCAUAGGUGAUGCCAAAAAUAGCCAACGAAUUGCACCCAAGAGUUCCUUAACGAUAUUGAAAGUGGGGUAGUUAAUGUCUUUUUACAUUCCUAUAUAUAAUUUGUCUUAUAAAUAAUUUGGUUUAAUUACCUAUUUCAUCCCUAUAGCUUAUAAAGUAUUUAGCCAAACCCAUCAUUCUCUCUCAAAUUUUUAUAUGAAUUUUAUCUUUAGUGAACUUGGAUAAUUAAAAUAAGAGAAAUUUACCACCGUUCAUCUGUUUGUUUUAUCUUUUUCGAAAAUAUACAAAACUUUUUUUUUUUCAGCGCGCCACCUGAAGUUUACUUUUUGUUGCAUUCGUCCACUUUCGUUUGAUCUUCGUUAGUGGAUUUAACGGAAUGUUAAUAAAAUGACAUUUUUAUCCCUCAAAAUUACAAUUUAACCCAAAAUAGCAGGAAUAUUAAUGAAAUGACCUUUUUAUCCCUUAAAGGAAAAUUACAAUUUAACCCAAAAUAAAUAGAAAUUGGAGAUAAAUUGGUUGGAUUUAAGUUUUUUCAAAGGUGGAUGCUAGAAAUUGGAGGAAAAUAGUGUUUGUUGCUUGCUAAAUUUAGAAAAUUUGUAUUUAUUUUUUUGAAGAAAAAUAGUGUUUGUUGCUUGCUAGAUUUAGAAAAUUUUGUAUUUAUUUUUUCUCUUUCAAUUGAGUUAAACAACAUCAGUUUUCUUUCUUCUUCUUUUUUUUUUAAUUUUUAAAUCACAUUAAAUGACGUUGUUUUACUCUUUGUAAAAAAAUUAGCAUAAUAUAGCAUAAUUUUAUAUAUUCGAAUGAAAUGCCCAUUUUAUCCCUCUGACGUCAACAACUUUCUAAUAGCGGUUAGAUGGAAGUAGACGACUGCAAUAAAAGACAAACUUCAGGUGGCACGCUACAAAAAAAAAGUAUUUGUGUGUUUUUAAAAAAGAAAAAACAAACAAGUGGACUGUUGAUAAUUUCUCUUAAAAUAAAUUAAAAAAAGAACAACUUUUGGUUGAGAAAUUUUUCAAUAGUUGCAUCCUAAAUAGUAAAUACAACCAACUAACAUAAUCAUUAUUUGCAUAUUUUUAUAUGCGUAGCAUGAUGAUAUUGGCUUGUUGUACAUAUUCUUGACGUUCAACACUCAUCAAUAUGACAUAAAUGUUUUAGCAAUUCAUUCUCUCUAUCUCUCUCUCAACUUUCCUCUCUCUCAACUUUCGCUCAUUUUCCUGACAACCAAACACCUUAGUUCACUUAAAAUGAUUUUUGCAAUUGCUUCUGUGAUAACACCAAGUAGUUUAACCGAACAAGCAUGUUACUAACUCCAUGUUCUUCAUCAUUGAAGCUUUCAUAUUCUUUUUAAAUUAAGGCAAGCUAGCAUCAUAUGCUUCUCAAAACCUUUCGCUUAGAUGCUCAAUAUUAAGCAAGAAGCCAAGAACGAAUCUGGCACAUGGACAUAGAAGCCACCAGUAAUUAAGCUCUUAUAAAUUAACAACUAUCAAUACACAUAGAAGCCGGCACAUGCAUGCAUGACUGACGAUCACAAUCUUAAGCAAGUCAAUGAGUUUCAGAAGACAUUUUUGGCUUUUGCCUGUGCUCGCAAGCAACUGAUGAUGAAGUCAGCCUGCUGAAGUCAUAUGCAAUCUUUGGAAAUCUUCUUUUCUCAAAAUUUAGAAAAGCUAUGAAUAAAUGUAAUGAUGAUUGACGACCAAAAAAGGCAAACUUUGCGGAGCAAGGGUGUCGAUUGAGACACUGAAGCGACUGGACUUGACGCCGGGGAUUGAAUAACGGAGGCUUCUACACUUAAUCCUUGAGCUAAGAGGACCCCUACUUUAAUCCUUGAGCUAAGAGGGCCCCUACUUGAGCUUCCGUGGAUGUAUCUUCACGAAUAUAGUGAAAAUAAACAUAUCUCUUCAUAUCAUAAGGUGAUUUAAUCAAACUGGUAUUCUCCACUUUUAUUAUAAUUCAGCUAAAUUAUUGUGGGUUUCAGUACUUGGCCAUUAUUUUAUAUUAUGAUUGGGUAGUUGUAUCAUAAAAUUUACAAUAUUAAAAUAUUAAAUGAAUAAUUUUUGUUGUGAAUUUUGAAAGUUGAAAAUCUCACAAUUGUAUGAUAAAAAAUUUAUAAUUUAUAAUUUUUUAUUAAAAAUAUUAUUAAAAAAUCAUAUUUAUAUAAAUUUUUAUUUCAUAAUCAGCUAUAUUUUUUUUUCACUAACCAUUUUAACUUUUAAAUUAUAAUAUUUUAAUAUCAAACAAGAUAUUAGUUUAAUUGGUAUGUUAUGUUUCCGAAAUAUCAAAUAAAAAAAAGGCUGGAAAUAGUAAAAGAUAUUAAUUUAGUCUUCAAUCUUAUCCCUGCGACAGAAAAAGGAAUAAUUCAAUGAAUCAGUCUGCAUUAUCAAACCUACAGAAACCACUCAGUCGGCAUUGUUUGUGCCAAAAUUCAACAACUGUAAUAUACUGCUAGUUUCCAAUAAAAAAAGAGUAAUGUACUGCCUAUCCAUGUUCAUGUUUGUGAAAUUUGGUCUCAAGAAACCAUCCACGCUUUUUGACCAUUCUUAAAAAUAUGCUGCAGCUCUUAAACGAUCUGACAACAAACAACUGGAAUAAAGAAUUGGAGAAAAUAAAAUAAAAAUGAACGAGUAGUAAUUUACAUUAUCAAUAUGAUUCCAAAGCCGAAAAUGAAGCAGAAAAACAAGUGCUUGGCUUCUAAAUAUGGCAACCCACUUCAAUGGUUACUAAUUCAAGUGAAGAAGUGACUUCAAGUCUUCAAUUGAAUAUCUUUACUUGAAAUGCUCUUCACCACUAUCUUUAUUACUUGGCGCACAUUUUGGUGGGGGCUGAUUUACUUUAUGCCCAAAGCUUCCCAAACUAAUAAAAAAUUUCUAUAUAAUUAGUAAAAUCACAUCAGUGCAUGAAUGGUUACAUGGGAAAGGUUCUAACUCAAGCAACUCGAAAUUUUCUUCUUUUUUUAACCUUUAUACAAAAGGCCUUGAGUCUUUCCCAGCUUGAGAUUGUCAUAACUCAUAAGAGGAGGAUAUUGCUGAAAUUCUAUCUUUCCUUGAUGUUAAGAGGCAGCAGAAAAUGGAAUUUACUUCAGUUUAUAGCCGCAUUACAUAUGGUUUUUCCGGCCUUUUGAAGCCGAUAAUGAAAAAAAUUUGUGUUCUUUUCACUACAUAUAAAUAUAAGGUCAUCCCCAAAUAAUAGUCUAAUUGGUUUGACCUCUUGUCGUUGAAGCAAAGUGGUUAAUUGUUCAAUUCUAAAAAGAAAUGUUUAAUUUAGGGUAUUUUAUUUAAAAAGAAAUUGAAGAUAAAUUUUAGAAGAUUUUGUUUUGAUCUAUCUAAUGUAAGAAUUACUGUUAGAGAUAAAUUAUUAGGACUUCUAUCAAUUCUAAUAUAAGAUGUCAGCCUUAUUAACUUAAGGUUUCGGAUUGAGUGGUUUUUAUUAAUAUAUUAUUUAAAUAUAAGGUUAGGGGUGGAUGUAAGUUGUGGCCUAAGACCCCUUAAAAAAAUUUCAGGGAAUAAUGGAGCCAAUUUCUUUGAAAGAUUCUGUAUUUUGGCCCCUCGGUUUACAAAGUUUUUAUUUCUGAUCUCCUUAAAGUUGUAGUUUCUCCAUUUUAGACCCAUUGGACUGUAAUAUAUAUUAUUAUAUAUUUAAUUUAUACAGGUGUUUUCCUAAUAUUACAAUUAACACUCUGUUUGGGACCAGCCUUGAUCGGGUGAUAAACGCAACCUAAAAUAGGCUCCGAGUGAUCAGCCUUGAUCAUACAAUUAGCUACUAAUUUCAAUAGCCCCACGCACACUCACUUCUCUCUAUGAAACUAACACACUCCAAAGUAAGUGCCUAGGGAAAUUGAAAUUAGUUUAACAAAGAUAGAGAGAAGUGUAACGAUCAAAUUUUUACCAAGUAAUCCAUUCUAGAAAUGUCUAUUCUUGUGGCCUAGUUCUUUUACCCUUCUGGUGACCAUGUUUAAUGUCUGAAAGAUUAAGAAAAUAAAAUGUUAAAAGGAUUCUUGAUAUAUCUAUACACAUAAUUAUAAUGUAAUUAUCUGCAUAUACAAAACAGGCACACACAAAAAUAAAUGAAUAAAUGCAAUAGCAUAUUAUAAUAGGAACCACAUGAAAAUCUUUCUCCAUCAAGAGUAUAUAUUAUGAUAUGUAUACAUGGAAAAAUUCAAGACCGUUACAUACAUAUAAAUAUGAAAAAUAUUGUGUUUGAAGAUAACAAAACUCAAUGAGGUAAAUAAUCAAAGGAAAAUUCUAUAAUACCAUGAAUAAAAUUACGAUAUCAAUGUCGUGAUAAACAUAAAUUUAUAAAUUACACAUAUGACCAGUAAAUAGAAUAUAAAAUAAGUAAAUUAAUAUAAGAGUAGUAAAUUGUAUUUAAGUAAAUUACAAAUAAAAUAAGCACUUGUAAAAAUAACAUAAAACUUGUAAAGCAAAUAGUUUAUUCCUUUAAUUUAAUAAAGCAAAAAAAAAUCGCUCAUCAAUUUAAAACAAAAAAAUUGUAUUGAAAAACAAUUGGAAUAAAUUUUAUUAAAUUUGUUUAACCAUAAAUUCUAUAUUCAUCCUAUGACAUUUAUAAACUUUUUUUUUUCAUUUUCUAUUAUAGUAUUUGUCUACUACAUAUGCUAAGCAAGCAAAAUUAUUUUUCCUGCUAUGGAUCAAGCCAUUACAAAAUAAAAUUAUAUAUCAAUAAAAUUUGGUCUAAUUUUUAGUUUUAUACAUAUUUCAUGUAGUUUCAAACUUUUUGCUUACUUGUACUUAAAGAUCAUUCGGGGUGCAGUCGAUAAUAUUUAGAAUAAUGAAAAAUCAACUUAUCUUACAAAUAACUAUGAAAAAAAUGAAAAGAAUAAUUUUUCAAAAUUAGAUUUUAAGAGUAAAUUUUAUCCUUAACAAAAUUUCACAAAAAUCAUCAUAUGUAUUAUGUAAACCCAAAACUAUCAUUAUUCAAUUUAAAAAUAAAAUCAAUAAAUAUACAAGGUAAUAAUUAUUAUUAUAAUAAUUUUUUAAUUUACAUUUGUAAUUUUUUAAUUUUUAAAUAACUCUUAUGUUAAUUUACUUAUUUUACCUCUUAUUUAUAAGUCUUAUAUUACAUCUGUAUGUUUUUAUUUUAUUUACCAAUAAUACACUGAUUUACCACUCAUAUAAUAAUUUACUUAUUUUAUCUUCCAUUUACAAGUCUUAUUUUUUAUUUACUUAAUUUAUAUUACAUUUUACACUUAUUAUUGAUUUACUAGUUACAAGUUUUAUGUUAUAUUUAUAGGUUUUACUUCGUUUACUAAAAAUACAUCAAUUUACCAUUUCUAUGUUAAUUUACUUGUUUUACCUUCUAUUUACAAAUCUUAUGUUCCAUUUACAUACUUUAUGUUUUAUUUUACACUUAAUGUUAAUCCAUAAGUUUUCUGUUAUAUUUGUAAGUUUUUGUUUAGUUUAAUAAUAAUUUACUACUCCUAUGUUAAUUUACUUGUUUUACCAUCCAUUUACAAAUCUUAUGUUUCAUUUACAUUAUUUAUGUUUUAUUUUAUAUAUAAUGUUAAUUUACAAGUGUUAUAUAACAUUUGUUAGCUUUUGUUUUGUUUACUAUUAAUACACCAAUUUAUCAUUCUUAUAUUAAUUUACUUGUUUUGCAUUCCAUUUAUAAGUCUUAUAUUCAAUUUACUUAAUUUAUGUUUGAUUUUAAUUAUGUUAUAUUUGUAAGUUUUUAUUUUGUUUACUAUUGACACAAUAAUUUGCCACUCAUUUGUUGAUUUACUUAUUUUACCCUCUAUUUAUAUCAUUUAUAUUUUAUUUUACAUUUAAUAUUGAUUUACAAGUUUUAUGUUAUAUCUAUAAGUUUUUAUUUUUUUACUAAUAAUACAUCAAUUUACCAAUAUUUUUUUGAUUUACUUGUUUUAUCUUCUAUUUACAAGUCUUAUGUUUUAUUUACAUGAUUUAUGUUUUAUUUUACACUUAAUGUUGAUUUACAAGUUUUAUGUUACAUUUGUAAAUUUUUAUUUUAUUUACUAAUAAAACUCCACUUUAUCAUCCUAGGUUAAUUUACUUAUUUUUUCUUCCAUUUACAAAUCUUAUAUUCCAUUUACAUAAUUUAUUUCUUUUUUAAAUUUAAUUUUGAUUUAUAAAUUUUAUGUUAAACUUACGUAUCUUAUAUUUCAUUUGAACAUUUCAUGUUUAAUUAUGGUAUUGAUGCAGUGAUUUUAGAAUGACCCUGGGUCGUUCCAUGAUCCCGUGAUUAAAAUUACGACACCAAUACCAUAAUUAAACUUGAAUUAUAUAAAUAAAAUGUAAAAUAUAUAAAUUUAACGCAAAGUUUGUAAAUCAAUAUUAAGUGUAAAAUAAAAUAUAAAAUUAUGUAAAUAGAAUGUAAGACUUGUAAAUAUAAGAUAAAACAAGUAAAUUAACAUAUGAGUGAUGUAAAACACCAAUUUAACAAUUUUAUAUUAAUUAAUUUAUUUUACCUUUCAUUUAUUAGUCUUAUGUGUAAUUUACAAAAUUUAUGUUUAUCACGAUAUUAAUAUUAUAAUUUUAGUCACGACUUCAUAGAAGUUUCCUUCAUAUAAAUAGGUCUUUGAGCUUCACAUGAAUAGGUCUUUGAGCCACGUUGAAUGAAUGAAGGUCAAAUUUUUUUUGUUUCUUUAAAUUCUAGACGAGAUGAGAGAGGGUUUGAGAGUUUAAUAGAAGUUUAACAGUUUUUAUGUUUUUGUUAGAUCCAUUACUCUAGAGUUAGUUUUUGAGUGUGAAUUAGUUCCAAAAACUUUAUAUAGGACACCUAGAUAUAUUCUGAAACCCAGAGAAAGGGGGAACGCAUGCAUCUAGCACAUAAAUUCUCUCUUAAAGCUUUUCAUUCCAUGUAUUGCUGAAAGUGUAAAGUAAUCCUUACUUCUAUUUCGUGUUAGUAAUUAUGAGCUCUUCCACUUCAAGAACUUUCGUUUUGGCUCCUUCUCAUACAGAUAAAUCAUACACAAUAGUUACCAAGCUUAGAAUUUUUCCCUUUGGCUGGAUUCCGAGAAAGUAAAUAUCGCACUGUUGGUUGAUUCUCAUCAUACAUUAUUUAUCUUUUGACUACAACCUCUUUUUUUCUUUGGCUUUUUCUUUUUUCUUGAAACUAGCAAAAGAUAAGAACAGGACACUCUAGGUCCCAAUAACUCGGAUCACUCGUGCAAUAUAUAAUCCUAUCCAGAUAAAAACAUUAGGCUUAGAUUUGCUCUAAUUUAAUUUUGUUGUGACUCUCAUAAUCGUAGAGGCAUUCCUUAACAUGCAUGUGAUUGACUCUGUCUACUUAUAAAUUAGCUCAUCGUCGUCAUCAUCUCACAAUUUGAGGUGAUAACAAACAUCUUUUGCUGUCACUUUCUUCAGUCCAUAUAUAAUACAAUUUUUGAGUUUUAAAAGCUAAUAUUGUUUCUGUACGCAUGUUACAAUAAAAAAGAGUGAGAUAGAAAGGAAUGAGAAUCUCCUUAGGCUAGCCUUGGUUACCCUUUUUUUAAUUUAAUUUAGCAUAAAAUUAUACAACGCCAAGCUUUAAUUUGCUUUUUGCAUUCCACAUUUUAAACAUUUUUUGUAACCCACUAACAAGCAACCCUUGAGAUUCUCUCCACACUAUAAAUAUGAGAGCUUCUGGCUGCAAUUCACUACCCCAAUAAGAAACAUUCAAAAAGAAAAGAUAAAAGCUUAUUCAGGCUUACUAGCUUCUCUCUUUCUUUUGUCACUCACUCAUAAUUAUGGCAAAAAUGUCAGAUGCCCUUGUGCUUGGAAGAGUGGUAGGUGAGGUCAUUGAUUAUUUCACUCCAUCUGUGAAAAUGACUGUAACUUACAACUCCAUCAAGCAGCAAGUAUAUAAUGGCCAUGAAAUGUUUCCCUCUCAAGUAACUCAAAAACCAAAGGUUGAGGUUCUUGGAGGGGAUAUGAGAUCUUUCUUCACUCUGGUAAAAAUAUUUAUUCCCUUGUUUUUCUUGUUCUAUUCUAUCUUUUUACUCUCUGAACUUAUUGAUUAGUCGUAAUUCUUUAUCAUUUCCAGAUCAUGACUGACCCAGAUGUUCCUGGCCCAAGUGACCCUUACUUGAGGGAGCACUUGCACUGGUAUAUUCAAGAUUAUAACCUCUCUAAAACCCUCCGAUGUUAAUUUUUAUAAAGACAGUCUCGCAAUAAAUACAUUUAAAAGGAGAGAUCUGAAAAUUUGUGCCCUAUUUCUAGGGUGAAUUUAUGAUUCACAUAAAGCAUAGCGUUUUACAGUCACGUAUAAUAAUUAACUAUUUACGUAUAUGCAUAUAUAAAAGAUCGUGCAUAACAUUUACCAAAAUUUGAAAGAUGUGAUUGUGCAAAUUUGUCUGCAAAAUCCAUGAUAUCCGAGUCUGAAUCCCUUUAUUUGACAAUCUUACAGGAUUGUCACCGACAUCCCAGGUACCACUGAUGCCUCAUUUGGUAAGUAAUGUUAUCUAAAGCAAAUUUAGAUUCAGUUUUUGAUCUGAAAAACAACAAUUAAAUGAUUUAAAGGGUUCACAUUUUUGGUGGAAAUAUUACAGGAAAAGAAGUUGUGAAUUAUGAAAUCCCGAGGCCGAAUAUUGGGAUCCACCGGUUUGUGUUCCUGCUCUUCAAGCAGAAACGAAGACAAACAGAGAUGAGUGUACCAGCUUCAAGGGAUCGGUUUAACACUAGAAAGUUUGCUGAAGAAAAUGACCUUGGCCUGCCUGUGGCUGCUGUCUUUUUCAAUGCACAAAGGGAGACUGCUGCUCGAAGACGCUGAUGAUGAUCAAGAAGCAUAUAAUAUAAAAAUAGGUAACAAAAUAUUUCAGCUAAUUAAUAAUGAUAAGAAUUGGAACACGAGAAUGGAAGGAGGACUUAUGCUCUUCGAGUACUGAAGACUCUUAUUGGUUAUAUUAAGUGUGUUAUUAUCUGUAUCUUUAACUUAUUUAGAAAUAAAUUUCUUUAAAAAUAAUCAUAUUGAAUGGAAUUAAUUAUUGAUAUUUAUAAUUAGACAUGUAUUUGGAACUUCCUUUAGAUGACUCUAUAUUGCUAGAUCAAGUGUAUUAAAUAGGAUUCAUAUUUCUAUACUCAUUAAUAAUUAAUUAAAAAAUAAUUACAUCCAUGUGAGUAGGGGUGUUCAUGGAUCAAAUUUUACGGAUUAGAUAUGGAUUAUCAAUCCAUAUCCGAUCCACGAAUUUACGGAUUAUAAAUUUUUAAUCCAAUCCAAUCUACGGAUUUGUGAAAUUUAAUCCAAAUUCAAUCCAUACGUUUGCGGAUCGCAUGCACAUUUAGCAUAAUCUAUAUCCAAUCCACCAUUUUACAGAUUAAUUUGUGGGCUAAAAAGUUUUACUUAUGUCUUACCCAUGAACUAACUAAAUAAAAAAUUUAAUAUAAAAAUGAUUUUACUACCAAUCAAAUUCAAAAUUAAAUAAAUUAAUUGUUUAAAUAAAGUUAGAAAAUACAUUCAAAGUUUUAAAUUAAUUGUUUAAAUAAAGUUAGAAAAUAAAUAAAAAAUUUAAUAUAAAAAUGAUUUUACUACCAAUCAAAUUCAAAAUUAAAUAAAUUAAUUGUUUAAAUAAAGUUAGAAAAUACAUUCAAAGUUUUAAAAUAUAAUACACUAAAAAGAAAAAAAUAUUAUUUGUUUAGAUCAGUACAUGGAAAUUAAUUGCUAAUGAAGCUAUAUUUUUUAUUUAAUUUAUUUUAUAUAUAUUAUUAGAUAAGACAUAAUAUGAUAUUAAUAUAACUAUUUUAACUUAUUUAUUUAGUAAUAAGUAUAAUGUCAUAUUUACAAGUUUAAUUUUUUUAUUAAAAAAAUAUUUUUUUAUUUUUUUACGAAUUCGCGGAUUUUUACGGAUUCACAGAAGUAAAUUUAUAUCAUAUCCAUUGACUGCGGAUUUUUAAAUUUUUAAUUCAAUUCAAUCUACUAAUCUACGGAUUAAAUUUUUACGAAUCAGAUUUAUGUAGAUCAAACAAAUUGAGAAGAUUGGAUUGAAUUAUAAACACCCCUACACGUGAGUAUGAAAAAUAUUUAUUUCCACUCAAUUACAUAAUUACGAGAGAAAAUAUUGACCUCUGAAAGGGAACUUGAGCAGUUGCCCUUCGAGGCCGACAGUUUGGUGUUGUUACUAUUAGCUUUUGGGUGAUUUGACAAUGAAAAUAGGGGUUGGUUUCAGAAAGUACCCAACGAUAAUUUUCAAUUAUAUAUUUAUCUCCAGGCUUUACUUUUAACUAUAGAUUGGACGGAACAAUCACAGUAAUUUUUUUUUUCUUGAAUAGACAAAAUUGCCCGUUUAGGCUUAUAACUUACAUUUUUUAAAAGAGAGCUUACUUAUGUAAGGUACAACCUUUUACAAGGCUAUGGGCUCAAAUAGAAUUCAUAAUUCAAUUUGUGAGAGACUGUAUCUUACAUUACAUAUAAGGUGCUCCCUCAUAAUAAUAAUUUCAAUCCCUUCAACAUCAUUACAUCAGUGGGUCAUACUGCAUGCAAUGCUGAAAGAACCUUACCCCAUGGUCACUUCAAGAGGUUAGAGAGAAGGUUUUGAAAAGUAUGCAACCAAAAAAAAAAUGAUUACACAGGUACUUCCAAAGAGCCACUGAGCUAGCAAACUUGUUCACUUCUUUUUUUUUUUAAAUUCAGUAUUUGAUUUAGAUUCAGUACUGUUUUCAUUAAUUUUUUUAAUAUAAAAUUUUAUGAAACUUUAAUUAUAUAUUUUUAUACGUCCAAAUUUAAUAAAAAAUUAUAAAAAAUUGAGCACAAUCAACUUGAUAUUAAAUUCAAAUUCAUUCUAAUGACCAAGGGCUUUCCAAGUCUCUCAUACUCUCUAUUUCCAUUUUUCCCAACAAAUUUCACGUAUUCUUCUUGAGCUUUGCAUCAUGAGAACAAAAUAAGAUCUAGAUUUCGAAGAUUUAAUUAAUUUUCUUUAUUGGAAUGAAAAAAAGACAUGCUACGGACACUUAGCUAGGGAGGAGCUAGAAAAUCUUACCAUGAACUUUUAUCAUGGAAUACAUAAAAGUAAAUUGAUAAAAAGAAAAACAUAAACAGAUGAAAUGAAGCAAAGCCUCCUAUCAAUUUAUAUCAUUAUGACAUACACAUAUAGCAAUAAUCUAUUGUAUUAUGGCAUACAUAUGGCAAAAAUCAAGAUUACUAUGACAUACUCAUAAGACAAGAAUAUUUAGGUCAGUAACUUAUGACAUUCAAAUGUUAAAAAGAAUAUUAAUACUCAAACAUUUAUGUUAUUUGGAUUCUUUUCUUUCCAGGCCUUUUUUUUUCCCAAGCUUGUACUCUCGCAUCUUAAUUAAAAAGCUUGUGCAAGCAAUUAACCCUAAUGGCUUCAGGGAUUGCAAGGAGGGUUAAACUGAAGAGUUUGAUAGGACUUUCCCAAAUUUGGUUUAAACAAAUGAGAGAUAGGAGUAAACCACUUUACGUAAACGUUUACGCUAUUGAAUAAGAUCACAACUUGGAUAAAUAUUCUUCUAAUCUUUAGGGUUUGAGCCAAUUACCCAGUCCAAUAUCUGUCCAAGAAGGAGAAGGUGAUUAAAUCAACGUACAAUUUUGGACUCUUCAACUGAGAACUGGGUUGACAAUGGACUGUGUUAACUUACUGAGAGAUUCAGUGUCUUCCAGAGUAUUUGUAUCUCCUGAAUUUAAAUGAUUGAGAAGCAGAAUGAUGACAAAAUUGACUGUUGAUUUCAAUAGCCUAUAAAAAGUCUUCACUUUAUCUAUCAAUUUGGCUUUUUUUGGUGACUUUUUAAUGAUUUAAAAGACAUCCAUAAUUCUAACAGGUAACAGUUGAGGAUGAUUUGAGCUAGCUACUUCCUCUCUAGCUUCAAAAUCUAAAUAAACUAACUAGAAUGGCCCAUUUAGUAAUUAGAGGCUUACCGAAAAUUAAACCUAUUGUACAAUCUACAUUCGCAAUAUAAUAUGAGGUUUACCGAAAAUUCGGAUAGAUGCAAUUAUAUUGCAAUUUAGAGAUUUAUGGACUCUACUCUCCUUAACUAUAUUUGGAGAGAAAUCUAGAUACAUGCAUUUAUAGUAUAAUCCUGAUUUUCACAAAGCAUAAAUCAGAAAUCUACCCCCACUAACAUCAUCCAUGAAGAAAUUUAUCCCUGUUUAACCUUUUCCCAACACCCACAAUACAAUACAAAUAUCAUUGAGGACAACACCCACAAUACAAGUCCAAUGCUACUUCUAGUAUUUAAUUACCUCAAUAGCAAUAUAAAUUUACUUGAUUGUUGCAAUUGAUUGAGUCAAUUUAUCUAUCUCUUUUAUUCGUACAUUAAAAACAUAGCAGAAAGUCUUAGGUAAACAAAUUCUUUAAUAAAACUUUUACAUCUUUAAAUAUUCCGCAAUUAGUAAUUGAGUUGUAUGAUUGCUGUGAAUUGAAGGUUGCAAGUUGCAACUCCUCAACCUUCUAAGAGCUAUACGGUACUUAAACUCCUCCGAGAUCACGCCGAUCAAUUACAUGAAAUUUUUUGAAAUAAGAAAAGAGAAUUUAAAAAAAAAUAAUUGAGCAGCUGCUUCGCACAGAUGAUGGGGAUUGAUCGAGAAUUGUUUUUUUCUAAAUGGAAAAUAGCAAAGUGAAGAAUCUUUUAAAGACUAAACUGCAUAGUGUCAGUUCAAACUACAUAGUUUCACAAAAUUAUGUUUGGUGCCCCAAAAGUUUUGGUUUUCAUCUGAGUCAACUGCUUUGCUUGUAGGCCUCUGCAGCCUAGGGAUGAAUUGGGUCGAGUGUCCUAAUUAACUCCGGCAGUUGUUACAAUGUUGAGACAUGACACAAUUUUGAAUUCCAAAAACUGAAUAAUUUUUUCGUAUAUGUUUAUAUAAUGAGAGUUGAGAAAGCGUUCACGACUUUUGCAGUAAUGAUUUUUCUUAGUAAAUUAUCGUUACCAUUUGUGUACGUACAUACUUAUUAAUUUUUUUAUAAAGAUAAGGAAUGAAUAAAAUUUAAAUCAAUUUUUAGUUCUCCGGCAGUUUUUGAUGACUUAUCAAAUAAAACUACUACGAAAAAAAAAAAAAUUAGUCCCUAAGAGUCAUUUGUGUGCAUACAUUAUUUGUUGGAAGGUUAAAAAAGACUUGGUGGGGGUUUAUUAAUUUUUAUAUUCAAAUUCGAGAUUUUAAAGUGCGAAAAAAUUUAGAAAAACGUAUAAAUGGUUUAUGGGAUUUAAGUUUUAAACUCUUAAAACCUACAAUUUAAAUUUUUUUCAUACUUUAAAAUUUCAGAUUAGAUCAAAAUUAUAGAAGAAAUGAUAAAUUUUGUAUUUCUAUUUAGGGAAAACAAAAAGGACAGAAUAAGUAGAGAAUUUUAAUCAAUCACGAGUUAACAACUUGCUGUCAACUUCUUGUUGAAAUGCUGGUUUAUUUUCUUACCGUUCGGACGCGAAAAAUCCCCAAAUUUUGUUUCUAUUCUUUUAAGGCGAGAAUAUUUUGAAAUAUUGGCCAAAUCUUUCAAAAAGAACACUUUUGAGACAUCCUUGAGAUCUCAUCUCCCAAAGAUAUGCUCCCUCAAUUGUGAUUAUAUACAAAAACUUAAACCUCGUACACAACCUAAAACAAACGUUAAAGGCUGGUUUAAAAGUUUAUUAUUUUAAGAAUCCUUCUUUAUUUGAUUUCAUACCACCAUUAUAUAUAUUUAAUAGUUUCUUUAAAAAAAAGAAACAAAGAAAAGGGAAAAGGUAGUUGAUAUUGUUGCAUCAAACGGAAUUAAGUAACAAAAAAAUUAUUGGCAAGAGAAAUUUGAAGAUUCUUGACUGAAAUUAAAUUAUUAACAUAAAUUUUAACUAAAUUUAAAAUUAAUUACCCAAUUAGCCAAUGAUUUUUAAAAUUACUCUAAAGGUUCCUAUUUUUACUUACUUACUUCCACAACUAUUAUAUUUAACUUUUCAAGGAUAAAAUUUUUUUUUGUCCGAUAUAACUCAAAAUUCAAACAAAUUAUAUAUGUAACAAGUGAAAUGCAUAGAAUAGUUAAGGAGGUUUUUAUGAAAAAAUAGACAACAAGUGCAUUUCGUAUAAUUUUUAAAAAUAGAAAGUCUUACAGGGUAUUUGGCUCAAAUAUAGGCAACUAAAAGUACAUCUACCGUUUUCGUUUUUACAGUAAUAACGAAAUAAUGUGUAAAGUGACAAUAUUUUUUUUGGUUUUGACCACGAGAUAUCCUGCGAAGGGUCCCAACUGUGGGAGGCACCUUUAAACCCGUACCACAACCCAGACUAGAAGUCCCCGCUCGAACUGAGAGGCACAAGUUCUCCCAACAAAUGCGACUUCCCUGCGACUCGAACUGGGGAGCAAACCCAAUCAAACCACUUAAGGGGACUCCAUUGCCAGUAGAGUCAGCACUUUGUUGGUGUAAAGUGACAAUAUAAUUAGUAUCACUCUUGACAAAAUUUUCACUUUAUAUUUCUGGAAUUGUUCAUAGUAUUGUAUUUGUUUACUUAUUAGCUUGAUUGUGGAAGAUGACGCAUAAGCAAUUUUUGGAAACAAGCCACAAAAAACCUAGUAAGUAUAUAUUCGAAGCAAAAUGUAUAUGGCACUAUAGGCUUUUGCUCGAUGUCCUUACAAAAGAUCCCUAGAUUCCUCAAACUAGCUAGUUCUUCUUUUAAGGUAUAAUAUACAAUAAUUAAAAGUGAUAAAGAUUAUGCGGUGGACUACUGUGAAUAAAAUUCUUGUCAAUUUGAAAUGCAAAAUAAAUAAAAGAUUUACAUCAUUAUAUAUGUAUAUAUUAGAGAUAACAUUAGAAAGCCAAAAAAAUCGGCUUCAACGUGAUUCUUUUUUUUUUUUUGAAUAUGGCUUCAACGUGAUUCUGAUCGUUCAAAAUUUUAAGCAUAUAUAUCUUAUCAAACACUUGGAUUGAGCUUAACCUAUUGUUGAAAAUCAUUUUCAUAUCACAAUAGUCUUCUUAACGGAUUCAUUAAGUUCACAAAGCUAUCCCUAAAAUCCAUAAAUUAGCUUGUUUAUUAGGUAAAGAAACAAGAUCAUGGAUUCAUUAAGUCAUCAAAAUGAUGCUGUGGUCAUUUAAUUUGGAAGAGCUACCACUAUUCUUUGUUUUUGUUCUUAAAUAUUUAUGCAGUAAAUCGAAUAUACAAAAUUUUGCAAAGAAAAACGUACAUGUGGUAGGCCAGUGGCUUCACAUGCAGAUGCAGUUCAUAUAGUUUGUAAGAAACCGAAUAUGUCUUAAUAUUUUAGUGCAGUGGCAUAUGAUUAAAUUAUUUUGGCUACCUCUAUCCUAUGAAUAUGAUUCAGAAAUAGCAAAACCUUGUUUUUUUUUCUUUUAAGUUAAAUGUUGAUGUGGCAAUGGAUAAGAUUAUUUUUUUUAAAGUUAAGUUUGAUUUUACACUUAUAUGAUCAAAAUUUUAUUAUAUUUUUUAUUAAUUUUACUAAAAUUAUUAUUUAAAUAAUGUAUUUAAUAAAUAAUAUUGACUUCUAUUUUUUCUCAAAAAAACUUUAAUCUCAUGUAAUAAUUUUUUUCGACAGUAGCUGUAACUUAAAAUCUACAAUACCUUAAUGCCAAACAAAACCUAGGUUACAUUAUGUUGUAACUUACAACAAUUUAAGAAUUAAACUGAAUACAACAUUACGUAACUUAGUCACAUCCUUAAUUUUAAAAGCAAUGAUAAAUGAACUAAACAAUGAUAAAAUCAUGACAAUUUUUUUUCUUUAAUAAAAUUUAAGAAUUCUUUUGAAAAAGAAAAAAGUAAAAUUUUUAAAGAUAAAUCUACAAAAUUCACUAAAAGACAAUUUUUUUGGUAUGGUUCUGUUCCUCUUAUCAUUUUUCUAAUUUUAAAUUUCGGUUUGGCUGUUGCGCUUGAUGCAGGAUUUUGGAGGUGGAAUUUGAUUCGAAAUAUGCAGUGAAUUUGCUUACUAAUCGAUUUCGAGGUUUGACAUAUUUCACAGUUUUUAAAUUGUACUGCCCAUAAGUUAGCUGAAUUUGCUUCACAAAUUCAUCAAUUUGUGAUAUGGUUGGAAGAUUUCCCAGCUUUUAUUUUAGACGCAUUUUAAGUUUGUUUCUCUUUUGAAUAAAUUUAAUAGAAGAAAAAAAUCUAGCAAUAAAAAUUACAGAUAUUAAGGAUUUAAAGUCAUCCUCUGAAGUUGGGAAAAAAUUUAAUCAAUUUUCUUUAGGUUUUUUAAAAUUAAGAAUCUUUGCUUACAGAGAUUUACUAAAAAUAAUAUUUAAAAAAAAGAGUACAAUAAGAAGAAGGGUUGUAAAACAAGUCGAAAUAAAUAAUUUGCGAAUCAAAUUAAAAUUGUGAGUUGGACUAUCGCCGCACAACAAUUUCGAAAUAAAAAGUCGGGUAGAUACUACAUUGUAAUCAUUUUUAUUUUAAAGAAAAGGGUAACUCAAUAUUAAGCUAUUGAGUUCCCCAUGUGACGUGACAGCCCAAACGGCCAAACCUUUGAAGCAUGUUGUUACUUGUUUUGUUAGUAAUGAUGAUUGAGAAGAUCCCAAAUCUGAUUGUUCAUUAUGGCUUCGAAAUACUCCCCUGUCGUUGCUUUCAUCUUCCACCAGCUAAUUGGGAUCAGCUAAACUUUUUGCUACUACUAUUGGUUUUGAAAAUCUGAUGGUUUAGCUAAAUAAGCUGCUAUAUAUGUGUAUACACACACACACACUUUGUUAUUAAAUUCUAUCCAGUACUAAUAUUUGAACAGAAAAUUUUGAUACAGAGACGAUAAAAUAAUUGUAAAAUUAUAUGGUAUUAUGGUGUUAAAUAAAAGAUAGCAUUAUUUUUUAAUUUAUAUUAUAACAUUGUAUGAUUUUACCAUUAUUUUUGUCACCCUUGUCUCACGAAUAGGGAUGGCAAGGGGUACCACAUGCUGUGGAUUUUUCAUUAUCAAAUAUACGCCCGUGAAAAUUUUAACUUACCAAAAUUGUCUACAACCCGCUGUGAGUUUUAACAAUUAACAAAAUCCACCUACAACCCGUAGGAGAUUUUUAAUGAGUUUUCACAUUUAACCUCACAAAUACUAAAAAGUACUUUCAAUAAUAUAUAAAUAUUUAAAUUAUAUCAUUCAAAUUAUAAAUUUAUAAUCGUAGCUUAAAAAUUCGUAUAAAAUACUCAGUUCUAGAGCUUAUUAAUGUAAAUGAGAAAUUAAGUUUCAACAUUAAAAUGAAUACAUAAAAUAUAUCAAUCUAACACUAUUUUGGUUGUAGACAAAUCAUCAUCACUAAGAUUAAUGCCUUACUCCGUCUUUUAUCCUAUAUAUAAGUAUUGUCAAUAAUAUUAACAAGUAAACCUAACUUUAAUAAGCAAUCAUUAGGUUUAAGUCAUUAAAGCAGAACAAGUAAAAUUAAUCAAAUUAAAAUAAAAUACUAGUAAUUUUAAACUUUAAAAUUAUAAAGUUUCUCCUUUUUAAAAGUAUAUGAUAUAUGUGUGUGUUUACACGUGGGUGGGUGGGUGGAAGGAGCAUGGCAUGUGGCUACAAUGAGUUGCAUUAUGUUUAGGAAUUAAGAAGAUUAGGGUUCGAGUAAUAAUCUUAGCUCACAUAUAUUAUGAUUAAUUUUUUUAAUGCGAUUUUAUGGUUACAAUUCAAAACAUAAAUAAUUAAAAAAAAAUAUGAGUCCGUUAAUAUCUAUGCAGAUAUCAAUCAAAUUUUUCUCAGUACAAAAUUAUUUGCGGCCCACAAAAUUAGUCGCAGCAAACGAGUUUCUAUGUGUGGAUUUAGAUAGAUGAACUCUUCAUCAUUUAUCAUUUCUAUUUUUAUCUUUUUCUAUGUAAUUUUGUUUAUUAUUUUAUAAGAAUAAAAUUACAUAUAAAAGUAAGUACUAGGAAUUGAUGAAAUAAAUGCUUGGGAUAGCUAAAUUCAAGACCGUGCCUUUUGCCAGUCAACGUUUUUCCCAUUAGCAGGUUUUCGUUUACAUACCUUUAAAUAUGAGCUCCACUUAAAAAUCUUUUACAUUGGAUGCCAAAUACAUAUAUCCUAAGGCUCAACCUAACAAUUAGGAGACAAAGUAUGCAAUGUCGUUGGACUCAAACGAGAAAUUUCUAAAAUUUAUCUCAGAUUUAAGAAUUUUUUUUUUAAAUAAGGAAUCACAACCUUCAUUCAUUAAGAGACUGAAAAAGAUUUAAGAAUUUUUUAUUAAUAGAGAAAGAUUAUGAUUUUUUUAUUAGCUGAAGAAAAUUACACAAUUGAUAAAACUGUCUAGACAAGGCUGCUAGCAGAUACUCGUGGGAACAAUGGCAGAGUACAAGUAAUUAAUCCUUUUUUUCUUAAUUUCUUCUGGACAGCAGCUGGCAAUUACCAUUUGAAUAGUAUUAUUGGCGAUUCAGAGUAAUAUAUCCUUGCAGGCAUUAGUGCGAUUGUCCAGUUCUUUAACGGAUAAACUUUAAUGAGGGACUUCAAACCAAACAUAGUUGUUAUUUUGCAGCAAGUAAAACCAGCAUCCAAGAAUAGAGUUUUCCAUUCUUUAUCAGUUCUCUCUUUUCCAUCAACAGAAACGCUCAUUAAAGCGUCACACAAGAGCUUGCUUCAGUUACUUGAUCCUCAUCUUCCUUUUCAUUGAUUACAAUGUCCAUGAUUAGUACCUUUUCUCUCUGACCAUUGCCUGCAAUAGCUUCUCUGCAUUUCUUCAGUAUCUUCAAGCUAUCCUCACCACCAAAUGCAUGAAAAAACAACUGCAUACAUGCCAAUCAUUCAUUUACUUAAUAUCAUUUGGUGUGGACUCAUGCUUUUACACCUAUAAAGGGCCUUUACAAUGCUGUAAAGGGUGAGUCCCUCAUUUUAUAGUGUGCGGACAUCCAUACUUGAGGAUGCUCAAAUCUAAAUGUUCGCUCAGAAUUUUGAUGUAAAUGCACCCUUUUAAUAAAUAUGGCUUUCAAUAUCAGGACUAAACUAAAAGAUUAAAAAAACUCACACUGUAAUGUAGUAUAUUUUAUCCUCUAAUGUGUUGGAAUUUAUAAUUUUUUUAUCUUUUAAUUUGUUCCAAACCAUAUUAAAGUUGGUAAACCCUAAUUGGACUUGGACUAUAUUUAUCUGUAAUUAAAUUAAUAGAUAAUAAUAUAUUGAAGCUUGAAAAAAAAAGAAAAAAAGAAAUUGCCCACCAUGAAGAAAUAUGCGUCUGCCGGAGGGAUAAAUUGAAACAUAUCAUCUGCUACGUAUUUUAAAUUCUCAGUUUGAGGCGUGUUAGCAACAGCGUGUGGGAGGUCAAGUACUGUGCAUUCGAUGCCGGGAAUGCUUCAGAUAUGAUUUUGGAAAAUCUACCAUUUCCACCUCCAACAUCGACCAUGGAACCCAACCUUUCAAUGAGUGUCCUGCAGCAGUCUUUGACAAUGAAGGUUGCCAUUUCGGAAUCAUUUACCAUUGCUUGAUUGAACCGCUGGCUUAGUCUAGGGUUUUGGCUCAUAAUCUCCCAAUGCUUCAUUCCGCGGACAGUUUCCCAUACUGAGACAUCAUUCCCUUUGAACAAUUUACUUAUAAAAUGGAGUAGAAAGAUAUUAUCUGGGUCAAGAAUUCCUGAAACAAGUGGUGACAAGCAGUAGGACUUGUCUUUGAUGAGCAGUGUAGAAAUAGGAGUGAGGUCAUAAUCUUCUUCUUUUUCCCCCUCCAACUUUGGUUUUGGAAAACAAGCCCAUAUGAACUAACAGACGCAUGAAACGGAAUGGAUUACUAGUUUUUGUAGGCUUUCCGUGGCUGUGAAUUAUAUCCGCUCUGCCUAGCUCAACUGCACCCUUGAGUGACAUCGGACUUAAAUUAUUAAGGAAUAGCCCAGUUAUUUGACCAUGACCUUCAAACAACUCUUUUACACUUACCCCACCUUCAUUUUCAAUGGGAUUCAUGACUUCAAUUGAUCUCUCGUUUACUUCUCCCAUUACUUCUCAAAACUAAGAUUUAUAGAUAGCUCUAUACAUCUCCCUUGAAUUGCAUUUAUAUAUAUACUUAUCUAUCGUAAGGCAAAUUUAAAGGUCAACAUAGUUAUACAAAUAAAUAGUUACAAUUAGCAAAGCUAAUUUGACAUUAUCAACAGUUACAAAAAAUUGAAAAAUAAGAGCAUGAAAAGACUGAGAUGCAUUUUUUUCAUAGAAAAAAAAAAGUAGAGGUUCGUGAAACUUCAAAUCAACUUUUUAAACUCAUACCUCCUCCAACGUUCAAAUUUUUGAGUGGUAAUUAAAUAAACUUACUUAAAAACUAUUUGGACAAGCUCUUAGAGGCAAAUUGAAGUCUCUUUUGUUUUAUUGCAUGUUAUUUAUAAAUUGCCUGAAUGUUUUGGUCUUUUCAUAUGAUUUUUUAAAAAUAAAUUUGACAAUUAUAUUUUUUUUAAUAAAAAUUUAAAUUUUUGAGUUCCCUAAUCGGGCACCCAUUCAGGCAAAAACAAUUCGGCUACUGUAGCUUGACUCAUGAGUUUGUAGCAUGACUCAUGAUUUUAACAAAAGCUACUUUAAUUUAACUAAAAAAUAAAGCUACAAAAUUUUGACAAAUAAAUUGAAAAGAUUAUAUUAAUAUAUAAUAGAUAGCAUGUGGAAGAAUAUUAAAUUGAAUAGACAACAGAUGGAACGUGCAAGGGAAAACAAAGGAAAAAAAAACUCCAUAUUGCAGAAACAAAUUAGUUAGUGGGUGCAGAUUGGUGCUAUUUGAGCUUUGCAAUUACAAAUAAUUUUAUUCUUAAACUUUGCAACCCAAAACUUUUUUUUUGAACUUAUAAACGAGUCUAAAAGCUGCUCAAAAGCGAUGCAGGACAAUAUAUCUGGCACCCUUUUUCGGACAUAGAUUUUUUCUUUUGAAAACAUGAUAGGAAGAAUAUUAGAGGAAUUUUAUUAUAGAAAGAAUAAGAGCAAAACGGACAAUUCAUUUAGUAGACUAAAGAUGCUUUAACCAUAAGAGUUAGGUUCGAGUUUGAUAUACAUUCCAUGGACAUUGAUUAUAUAUAUAACGAGGAAAUAGAACCGCUCUUCGCGCGGCUUUAAAAAAAGAAUUUAUUGUUAUAAAUAUUUUCCUUAAUUUUUCUCAUAAAGUAAUCUUUGUUGUCACCGAGCUAUCUAUAAAAAUUAACAAAAGUUAAUAAUGUAAAGAGAAAAACUCAUUAUAAAGAUAUUGUAUUAUCAUUAAAUUCAAAAGUCUCGAAUUACAUUAUCAUAUAGUUGGUUACUUUUUUUUAUUGCAAAUCACUAAUAUUUUUAUUCCCUAUUUUGAUAUGAAUAUUACCACUUAACUUUUUUAUUUGUGUUUAUGAAGAGGUGGGGUGUGAGGAAAAGAAAAAAAAAUGUUUUUCUUAAGAAUUAGAACAAAUAAUUAGGCAAUAAUUCAAGGAAUUGAGGUUAUUCAUUCUACAUUCCAAUUGGAUUUAGAGUGAUAUUCAAUAAUUUUUUCUUUUACAUUAAUUAUUUUAACCGUCAAGUACUGUUGCUUAUUCUACUACGUCUGUGAGACGAUGCUUGGGCUGCUUAGAACAUAUUUUCUAAUUAAUUUUUCUUGUGAAUACGUUGAAUAAUCUCUAAGGGCUAUGCCCUUUUUCAUUGUACUUUUAACAGUUUUUCUUUAACAAAUAUUGGAUGUAUUCAUUGAAAAAUAAAAUUAAAAAUUAGAUAAUAACUAGUAAGAUUUCAAACUGUCGAUCAAUUCUUAUGAUAACACAAUAACAAAAAAGAUAUAUAGUCAUAGUUUUCUUGAUUAUAUUGAAUUUACUAAUCUGUUAGAACUUUUAUUUUGUUAUUCUAACCAACUUCAACGAUCUCAAUAUCACCUACACCACAUAAACUUCUGACAACAUCUGUAAUAUCAUGAAAAAAUAACAUAAACAUAUUAAAAUAUAAGGAUCAAUAAUUUCUGUUAUACACUUAAAGAUUAACAAACGUUAAUAAUUAAAAUAAGGAAAAAAAAACUCCAUAUUGCAGAAACAAAUUAGUUAGUGGGUGCAGAUUGGUGCUAUUUGAGCUUUGCAAUUACAAAUAAUUUUAUUCUUAAACUUUGCAACCCAAAACUUUUUUUUUGAACUUAUAAACGAGUCUAAAAGCUGCUCAAAAGCGAUGCAGGACAAUAUAUCUGGCACCCUUUUUCGGACAUAGAUUUUUUCUUUUGAAAACAUGAUAGGAAGAAUAUUAGAGGAAUUUUAUUAUAGAAAGAAUAAGAGCAAAACGGACAAUUCAUUUAGUAGACUAAAGAUGCUUUAACCAUAAGAGUUAGGUUCGAGUUUGAUAUACAUUCCAUGGACAUUGAUUAUAUAUAUAACGAGGAAAUAGAACCGCUCUUCGCGCGGCUUUAAAAAAAGAAUUUAUUGUUAUAAAUAUUUUCCUUAAUUUUUCUCAUAAAGUAAUCUUUGUUGUCACCGAGCUAUCUAUAAAAAUUAACAAAAGUUAAUAAUGUAAAGAGAAAAACUCAUUAUAAAGAUAUUGUAUUAUCAUUAAAUUCAAAAGUCUCGAAUUACAUUAUCAUAUAGUUGGUUACUUUUUUUUAUUGCAAAUCACUAAUAUUUUUAUUCCCUAUUUUGAUAUGAAUAUUACCACUUAACUUUUUUAUUUGUGUUUAUGAAGAGGUGGGGUGUGAGGAAAAGAAAAAAAAAUGUUUUUCUUAAGAAUUAGAACAAAUAAUUAGGCAAUAAUUCAAGGAAUUGAGGUUAUUCAUUCUACAUUCCAAUUGGAUUUAGAGUGAUAUUCAAUAAUUUUUUCUUUUACAUUAAUUAUUUUAACCGUCAAGUACUGUUGCUUAUUCUACUACGUCUGUGAGACGAUGCUUGGGCUGCUUAGAACAUAUUUUCUAAUUAAUUUUUCUUGUGAAUACGUUGAAUAAUCUCUAAGGGCUAUGCCCUUUUUCAUUGUACUUUUAACAGUUUUUCUUUAACAAAUAUUGGAUGUAUUCAUUGAAAAAUAAAAUUAAAAAUUAGAUAAUAACUAGUAAGAUUUCAAACUGUCGAUCAAUUCUUAUGAUAACACAAUAACAAAAAAGAUAUAUAGUCAUAGUUUUCUUGAUUAUAUUGAAUUUACUAAUCUGUUAGAACUUUUAUUUUGUUAUUCUAACCAACUUCAACGAUCUCAAUAUCACCUACACCACAUAAACUUCUGACAACAUCUGUAAUAUCAUGAAAAAAUAACAUAAACAUAUUAAAAUAUAAGGAUCAAUAAUUUCUGUUAUACACUUAAAGAUUAACAAACGUUAAUAAUUAAAAUAAAUACUUGAGAGGAUUGUGUUAUCAUUCACACGUAAAUCAAUCAAAUUCGGAGAUACGAAUUGAAAUUCAUUGAUCAGAAUUUUAACAGUUCCUUCUUCUAACCUCUUAAGCGAAGUUAUAACUAAAAACAAUACAAAUUUGAAAGUGGUCUGUACUCGUCUGUAGUUGAAACAACUUUCAAAUUCUUGACAUUGUACAAAGAAACCUCACUCAACAUGUGUCUAAACCUUGUCACUAAAUUUUUCCUGGUUGUUGCAUGUAUUAGAUUUUCCUAUCCUUGGCCGUACAGCAGCUGCUGUAUGUCCGCACUAAUCAAUUCUCUAUUCUUCUUGGUAUUAACAGACUCUCACGUCCUACAAAGCCUAAUCCUUAUGAUCCAACUAUCUCCAUCAUUUUUCAACUCAUGCAGAAAAGAGUACUCUAUGAAGCACACAAUACUAAAAAUUUAAAUAAGUCAAACAAUCAAAACACAAAAAUCUUUCUAAAGAGGAUGUUGGUUAAAUAAAAAAAAAUCCAAACAUAACAAAUCGUAAAUACAUAGUAUUUAGAGAGUUUGAAGAAGCCAAAAUGCACUAAACAAAAUGUUGCAUAAUUAAAUAUAAGAUUAUGGCAUUAAAAUUAGGCUUUAAUAGUGACAUUGUUAAGGGAAUAUGAAUGAGCAUUCCUUCCUAUAUUAAUUAGUUGAUAUUUUAGAUUUGUCAUCCCCAUAAAUAAUGCAUUGAUAAUAUAUUGUAAAUAAGCUACUGUCUAUUUUGGGAUAUUACAUUCCAUGGAUAUUAUCCCGUUACAAAAAUAAUCUUAUGGUGUGUUUAUUUGAGGGUUAAAGGAAUGAGAAUGAAACUUAUGUUUACUUGGCAAAAUCUAAUUUGGGAAUGAGAAUAAAAUGUGUGGGUUUCACAUAAUUUGAGAAUAAGAAAUGGGAAUCCCAUUCCAAUAGGGGGUUGGGAAUGCAGAUUCUCAUUCCCUAAUCUAACUUUUAUAUCCCUCUAAUUUUUUCAUAUUUCUCGAAUUACUCCCGUUCAAAUCACAACUAAUUUUAUUAUUUUAAUUAUUAUUAUUAAAUUUUAUUAACUUUGUUAUUUUAAUUAUUGUUAUUUUUAUUAAUAUUAUCAUUAUUAACAUUUAUCAUUAUUUUUAUUUUUAUUUUUUUAAUUAAUAUCAUUUUUAUAAUAAUAUUUAUACAUGUAUCUAGUUAAUGAAAAUUACAUUAUUUAAUACUAUGGGUAUUUUGGUAAAUUGAUUAUUAUUCUCAUUCCUUAUUCCCAUUUAUUUUGUCAAGUAAACACAUCAAUGACAUUCCAGCACAUUCUCAUUCCCAUUUAUUUUUGCCAAGUAAAUAUUGGAAUCUUAUUCUCAUUCCAGUUUAUUUUCCUUCCAUGAAGUAAACACACAAUUACUGUAAAUUAAUAUGUAGGACAAUUUAGUGUAAACAAAGUAACUAUCAAUUAAAAAAAGGUGUAAAUACUAAAGUCCGCGGGCCUUACUUGCCUACCUUAAUUAUUUAAUAAUAAAAUUCUUCUAAUUGAAAUAAAAAAAUCAAAAUAAACGGUAUCUAAAUAUUUUAAUAUUAUUAGUAUACUACAUUGUUUAAAUUAUUUAUAUUAUAUUUGUAUUUAUUAGAAAGUUUUAAAGUUAAUUUUUUUAGCUACUAUAUUCAAAUAGUAUUAUAGUUAAAAAAGUUGUCUUGAUAUCUCUUAAUUUUAAAUUUAGAGGUUUGGUAAAUGACUAUGGAAUUUGUCAUAAACCUCUUCUGUCUCCGAGUAAAAUAAAUUGUCUAUAUUUUAAUUUAAUCAAACAUCAAGAGUAGCUGAAGAAAUAACAUUAUUUCUAAGUGAGAAUCCAUUAGGGGAGACGCAUCUUGGGUUGGGUUUGUUCAUUAAUUCACUUAUUUAUGCGAAUAACUGGGCGUCUGGCCCAAAGGUUUGUGUCUAUUGGACUUAAAGGGUAUACGAUUUUACACCUUAUUUGUACUGAUAUUUAGACAAUAGCUACAUUUGUUUUUUUUUUAUGAGUAAAGCUACUGGCGCCCCUCCAUUAUCCUAACAAAACCCCGUUCCAAGUAAAAUUAUAUUUAAAGACAAAUGGAAAUUAAACACACUUAUAUUUUUCAAUAAUUUACUUGCAGUCAUAAUCUAUCCAUUUUUUUUGUCUUUUACUUCAUUUUUAUCUAACCAAAUUAAAUUGUACAAAUUAGAAUAAUAAAUUUUUAUUUUCCUAUUUUUUAUUAAUUGAAUAUUUUUCUACUUAAGAUUGAAAUGAUAAUUUAAAAUAUGUGUGAUAUAAGUGAAUGAUUGACAUUAAAAAAUUCAUCAUCGAGAAAACUUUUUACUUUGAAUGGAAGGUAACAACAAGAUUGCAAAAGUAAAGAAAAAUAACAGAAUACUAAUUUGAGUUAAAAUAAAUAAAUAAAAAACUAGAAGGGUGUAAAAAAGAGAACAUUUUCAGAAAUAAUUUAAAAAUAAUUGGAAAGAAAGGAUUUUUAUGAGGAGAUUGGAAGGGUACUGAUAGUCCAAUUCUUUUUGGAGGGGUGCCAGUAGUUCAACCCGCCCCCCUCUUUUCAACUACGAAUUAUACAUUAAGGGAAGUUUGAGAGUUAAUUAGCACAAUUGGUUUGUAAAGGGUGUAUAAAAUUGCAACAGUCCCGACCUAAUAAUGGAGAAGAUAUUGAACGAUGAUAUCUCAAUUUCAAAAAUAAAAUCAUGAGCCAGAUUUAAUAUAUAACCUAUUAGUGGGAGAAGAUCUUGGCUAAUUUAUAAGUCUUGAGUUCUCAAAAUUAAAUAGACACGUUUUAGGUUACAAUGCUAAAUAAUAAUAAUAAUAAUAACAAUAAUAAUAACGGGCUCUUUAUACAAAAUAAAUAAUAUCUAAGAAAAUUGGACUAUUGGCACACCUUUAUUAAUUUUAUAAAACCCUUAUUAUAUUAUAAUUACAUCAAAUGACAAAUGUAAAAUAGGAUUAACUUCACUUUUUUUCUCUCUCUCUCUUCAAUUAUUAUUAUUUUUAUUAUUUUAACGGGAAUAAACAACAAUAAACUCAUUCAUCCUUUGUCCAAAAUUGAAAGAAACUACACGGUAACCGCAAUUGAAAAGCAUGAUAAAAAAUAAUAUCCUUAUUUAGAUAAUGUUAAAUUAGAUUAAAAAAACAACAAAAAUCAGAUACCAAAGAGUAUUUUUAAAUUAUUAAUUCAAAAUAAAAUCUAAACAUAAUGAACGUUAAAAAAAAGGAAAAUACAUAACAAUUUUUUUUACACUGUUACAACAAUCCAAACCGGAAAAAAAAAAAAAACAAAACAUAACAAAACAAAGGAAAGCAAAGUAAAAAUCAAAUUUGCAAAAGUUGAAAUGUGGAUGACGAAUUCAUGAAGCAGCAGCUGAAGGAAAGCACAGUUGUAGACACAAGAACGGAGAAGGCACGGGCUACUGGCAUUCAACGAUGAGGAAUGAAGGGUUUGCACUUGGGCUAGGAUUUGAGUUAAUAACAUGUAUGUGUAUUAAUGAUAUGGUGUGUACAUAUGUAUAAUAAUAAUGAAUUUUCACCUGUCAAAUAAUGCCAAGUGGCAUUUCUAAUUUAAAAUUAAAUUUGUUCGGUUUUUCGGUUUGGUUUUUGAAUUUAAAAUUUAGAAUUGAAAACCGAAUCAAAAUAUACAGUUUUAUACUGAACUAAAUUAUUCAAAUUUUUUCAACCAAAAAAAAACCGAAUUAGAACAAAAAAAAACUGAACCAAACCAAUUAUUUUUCGAUUCAAGUUCGAUUUGUACCCACCCCUAGAUGCCACUCAAUAUGACAAGUUUUGCUUAAAUUUUUCUUCCAUCUAUUUUAACUUGCAUGUACAGGGAUGGCUUUUUUUUGUGUUCUAGAUUAUAAAUCCAAAAUUUACCUAUCUCUCAUUUUCUUUUGUUGUCCAGUCUAUACAGUUGAUUUAUACAACUAAAAAUAUUAAUCUUUUUUUUUCCUUCUUUUAUUUUGGCCAUUUUCAGUUUUGGAAGCUAGUGUUUUUGAAUUUUUAGAGAAAGAAAGUUUAGAGAAAAGAAUAUAGAUAUUAAGAAUCCAAAACAAUUUUAUGAGUGAGGAAAUACGAAAAUUGAAAGAUACAAUUAUGUUUAUUUAAAAAAAAAAAGAGAGUUUUUUUUUUAAAUAUUAAUAGGAGUAUAAUUGAAAAAUGGAUUUUAAGAAGAUUAUAGAGGCAUGGACAGAUAGCCCAACUCUAUGCAUAAUACACGUGGUUUAGAUUUCGAAGCCCAAAAAAAAAUGUCCACCACAAAUCUCAAACUUAUGUUGUAUUGGACUUGUGUGGUAACAGUGCCACAUCAGUAUACAUCGACCAGCAUUUUGCAUAUACAAAUUUGUACAUGUAGCAUUAUUUUUGUAUUAUAUAUAAGCCCACAUAAUCAAAUAUACCAUCAUCAACCAAACAUCGUCUUAUCAUGCACCAAGACAGUGAUCGAAGAAUUUUAUUUAGAAACAAUUUAAUAACAAUUUCAGCAGCAUGUUAAUUAGUCACCUCGUCCUCAUUUCAAAGGAGCAGGCAGCUAACCAUUAAUCUUCUGCCAGUUGCUGAAUGAUGAAACCUUGACCCCAUUUUUUAUGAUCAAAUUUCAAAAGAAACAGGAAAGCCUUAGAGCUGAUUUGGUAUUCUGCCACUCAGAACCUCAAGAUUCCAACGACCCAAAACUGGUUAAAUUUGAGAGCUCGGGUCAAGGUCAAUGAUAUGAUGGCAUCUGUGCCGAAAUUUCAUCUUUGGAAGUUGCACAAGCUUGACCAAGGUAAUUAAAAAUCAAAAUUAAGAUCACUUCUCUCACAGAAUUUUAAUAUUGGAAACAUGUAACCACCCGCGACUGCCGAUUAUACUUGGUUUACGCAAGAUUACGAUGUUUGCGUUCCUCAAUUUUGGAGGGGAGACUGCCACUUGCUCCCUGUCUAACUUUUGUAUUCCAUUACUCUUGACUUCAAAACUAAACAAAAAAAGACUGGUAAAUUUUGAUCAUUUGAUUUGAUGUAUGUUAUUGAGAAUAUAAAAUCUACAUUAUUUUUAAAAAGAUAAAAUAUUAAAAGAAUAACAAAAUAAGGAAAGGAAAACAUGCUAUAUUGUUAUUAUUAACGACUUUGAAAUUCACAUUUAAUAUUACGUUUGGACCUGCCAAUUCUUCUUCUUGUUGUUAUAAAUUAAUCCUUUAGUAAAAAUCAUCACUUAAAUUCUUAGGAAGAUUUAUGUUGUAUUACUAAAAAUCAAUAAUCAGAUAUGCAAAAACAUACUUAAAUCUAUAAUAACCAAUUACCCUACAGAACCGCGUGAUUUGCCUCCUAUAUCAACACCUAUCUAUCAACAAAUGCCCUACAAACACCAUCUUCAAACUACAAUACAACAUUAAAUUAAAGUUAGAUGGUGGUGUCAAGCCGAAUAUGAUUAUAACAGUGUUCGAUUAGAUUCUUGAAUGUAAGAUAUGCAUUUACUAAUACAAAAUGAUUUAUUAGAGAAUGAUUAAUAUAAUUUAAUAAAAGAAAUACCAACUAAUUAAGUUAAUUAUUUUUUUACUACAUUUCAACCAUCUAAUAUAUGCAAUUAGAAAACUCUGAAAUGAAUUAUGUGAUGUGAUAGUCUAGAUAUACGGGUCAAGAAUGAACUAUAUUUAUUUUCAAAUAUUUAGAAAAAAAAUUCAACCUCCACUAUGGACGUGAAAAUAAACUAAAAUAAUUUAAUUCUAUUUAAAAAUUAGAGUAAUUCUAAGAUUAUAAUAUAUGAGUCCCAACUAAUGUGUUAUUCAUCAAUUAAGUAGAGGAAUGGAUUAUGUUUGAGAAAGAAAUUGAAGAUUAAUAUUGAAGUGCCACGUGUCGAUGAAAAUUAUAUGACUAAUGAUAAUCGCUAGAGGGUACCCAACCUAUACCGGAUACACUUGAUAGUCGAACUGGUAUAUGUGGUAUGUCAUAUUAAAGGCAGAAUAAUUAGAGAAAAUACAUAAAACGCCAACUAUAUGAAAUAUCUCCAUCUCCCAAAAAGAAUAUUUGAUUUUGCAGAAUCAAAUAAGAAAUAUUUACUUAAAAGGAGGGGCACAACUAACUAUCACACCUGCAAAAUGACAGCACACCAAGGACAGUGGUCCUCAUCUGACAUGACAAAAACAACCAAAAUAACCUUUUUAGAGGAGUCCCGGACCACCUUGUAGUCUGUACUACAUGUACAAAAGAGCAAGUCACGCCAAACAACACCCAACCUACUCUCCGAGCAUGUUCUCAAUGCUCCAAAUGGUUAUAUGAGCCAAAGGACAGGAAUAUAUUUUGGGCAGACUAAUAAAAAUUCUCCAGGAGGUAGGACAACCAGACACCUCAUGGCACUCCAUAAAAAGGCGUUCAUGUUCUAUUUUUCUCAUUCAUGAUGAAAUACAGACACAAUAAGUCUGGCACUUUCUUCAACCUCCAACCACCCCUAUCAUCAAGCGUUUGCUAACUCUUACCUUAAAAUACAAUAAAAAAUACUGACCUCAGAAUCGGAAUGUGGUCACUAGCCACCGUCGGCUCCACCCCAAACCUCUUUUCUCUAUUUUACAAGUUAAACAUAAUCGAUCAAGCCAACUCUCUCUUCAGAUCUAAGCCUUUUGAUAGCCCCACGUCUUCUAUUCUUUCACAAGCUUCAUCUAAAAUCAUAUUAAGUAACACAUCUCGGAUAUGCCAGGCACCUAUGUUACCUUAAUAUAAAUUUUAUGGUAUUUAACUAGGUUAUUAGUUUCUUUUUUCCUCCAUUCCAAAAUCUAGUUAAAAUAGAGUAAUAAGUAAUAUUUUUUUAUGCAUUAUCCAAUCGAUAAGUAACACAUAAUAUUUAGAUGAAAUUUAAAUAUUGAGAUCAAAAUAAUUAUAAUUAUCAAACCUAAACCAACUCUACGAAUUUUUUCUCGUCAAUUAAACCUCCGCUAUCGAGGCAACUUUAUUGAGUAAAAAAUCUAUUCUCUACGAAUAAUAGACCUUUAAAUUGAUUAAUUAAUGUUAUGGUGGACUCGUGACCCUAAGUUGAUUCCACAAUGGACAGGUGCUCAAAGAAACUGUAAGUCAAUAUCCUUUUCUUUGGUAGCUUUCGUCAUAAAAUAUUUGGAAACUUGACCAUUAGAAGUCUAAUUAUUACAGGAUGCCUUUAGCCAAGUCUUGGCAGUUUCGUUGGAAUUAAAUUUUCCAAAAACAAAAUUUCAACAUAAUUUAGAUGAAACGCAACUUAAUUAACAAAGAAUUUUCAGAUUAAGCAAUGAUGAAUGAAAUUGAUUUUAAGGAGUCUAUAUAUUGACCUCAUCUCAAACUUCUUUUCCACCUUUUUUAAGUUCAGGUAACACGUCCUCUCUAUUUUCCUUCAAUGCAUAUAUACACCUUUCCAUUUAAGCCUCCACACUUCCUUCACGCAAGUCCUCUAAUAAGAUAAAAAAUAUUUCUUCUGUUAUUCUUGUUAUUAUCACAAUUUUUUUUAAAUAAGUAUAUUGAAAUAAUCUAUAAGUCUGACUAGAAUCUCUUUUCAAUAUUAAUUUUAGCAAAAAUAAAAUAAAAUAAAAUAAACUAAUUUGGCAUAUACAAUUAAAAUCUUAUAAGUGAGUGCAACUGUACUGAUUUCAAAUGGUAAGAUAUCUUGAAUUGGUUAUAUGAACUCUCUUGGAAUUGAAUUUCAUUUAUAUUAGAGUUCGAGAGUAUUAAUUUGGUUUUUAUUUCAAGAAUUAUUCACACACAAAAAUAAAAGAAAGAGUAGUUUUACUUCUAGAUUCAAAUUUCACAUAUUGGAAAUUCAACUCAUUAGUGUAUUCAAUUCUCCUGCACAAAGGCAGAGUCUAGCAAAGAUUUGCUGAAUUAUAUCCACUUUUCCAUGCUGAUUAAGAAAAUUUGCUUCAAAUCGCAACGACCAUGUGAAUGAUUAACAUCUCAAAAGCGUAAUGAUGAUUUGUGUGUAGAAGAACUGUAGCUAAUGCAAGUUUAGUCAAGGUGUAUGGAAAAUUUAUCUUUUGAAUUUCAAAUUCCAAAAUUUCGGCUAAAUAAACCUAAUUCCGUGGUGACUCAACUAUGCCAGCAGCAAACGUCAUGACUACAUCACUAAAUUAGAGGCUUGUAAUUAAGUUUUUUUCACAACUGUUAAAAGGGUGGUGAUAUUUGUACCUUUGAAACUGCAUAAGCACAGCACUUCAAGAAAAAUAAAUUUAAAAAAUUCAUAUUAUUUUUAAUUAUAAUUUUUAAAAAAGAAGAAAUUUAAAAAAUUAAUCAAUUAAAUCCUCACUAACUAUUUAAACUUAUGGCACAAAAUCUCAUGUUUUGGACAAUUUGGUCAGUUUAUGUUAUAAGGUAAAAUAGUUAAAUUAAAAUUAUGUUAAAACAACAUUAGCCAUCAACAAUAGUUAAGAGACUUAUGUAAAGAAAAUUAUCUAAUUGAUUUAUUAUUUAAAUUUUUUCUUCAUUUUAAAUUUUAAAAAAUACUGGCCUUUUUUUAAUCAAACUUAUUAAUAUUUGUCAUAACCCUUUUUAAAACUAUCUCAAGAAAUUUAUCAUAUCGACUAUCAAAUUAUUUUAAAGUUGUGCUUAGUUGAUCUGUCAAUAUAUACAGUGACUGAAAGAUGAUGGAUAGUGUGAAUAUAUUAUUGGCCCCCAAAAAAAAAAUCAAUUAUUGAAGAAAUGUUAUGGGCUUAUCUGCAGGAAUCAUCAACAGGCGAGUAUUUUUUCUUUGAUUGAUUGAAAAGGCUCAAUCUAAUUUGAUAUUAUAUUGCAUUACUGUAUUCAUGUCUUCACAAAUUUUGAUGUUUAUUAAUAAUUGAAGUUUGUUUACUAAACUUGACAAAUUGAAAGGGAUCAGAAGCUAUAAAAAUAUAUGCUAUAUCUGUAACCCCAAUGGAUGGUCUAUAGAGUGUGAAUGUAGAAUGGGUUAUGAAAUAAAAUUUUGAUCUUUAUCAACAAUAUAAGUGUACUAUAUAUAUAUAUAUAUAAGAAACGUACAUAACGAGAGCUGAUCGAUACAUAUUUAAAGAACUCUAACAGUGUAGAGGAUACAUAUUUUAAUUGUCAAUGUCGUUUGGCAAGGAAAAGAAUUAUAUGAAGUUAAAAUAUUUAUACAUAUCAAUUUUGUUAAAAUCUGGUAAAUUGUUUAAUAGUUUGAACUUGCUGGUCAAGGCUAAAUUUCUAGCUCCGCCACUAUUGAUCAUGAAGGCACAUUUGAGCCCCUCACUUCAACAUUAUCGUAACAGUAAUACUUAGAAGGGACAAACAAAAGCUUAAAGCAGCUGCAAAGGGUUAUAAAGAUCAUUAACAGAAUCUAUAAUUUGAAAAAUCAUUAGCCUUUAGAGAAAGAACUAAAAAGUUCAGUUCGAGAAACAUCCCACUUGGUGUAAUCAACACAAAGCAAAUCCAGAUUAGCCAAAGUAUCUGCUACUCGGUUACUCUCAUGACAAGUUCCUGAAUUGCAUCGAACUAAUAAGGUGUUGGCAGUUAAUCUAUCUAUUGCACCCCUAUUGCUAAACAAAUUGACUACAAGCCUAGAGCCACUCUCAAGCCAAAGAUUAGAGCUCCCACGAGCUGCCCCUUGCUCAAUAACCACAACCGUUCAUUUGCAAUCUUAUUACAGUGGAGUCGGUUUUUUCGAGCGGGGUAGUGGAAGUGGAUUGAUAGCUAGAUAAACGCUAUAUAUCAUAUUUCAAAUGAUUCUCUAAUCCAAACAACUUUACAAAAGAGGUUUUGAUAUAUAAUUUAUUCUAAAUGAAUUAUAAUGUCUUUUUGAGACCUUUUUGUGUGUGACACUAAAAAUCACCUUAUAACCCACGCAAAUGGCAUUUAAAGCCAUUUUGAUUUUUAUAUACUUAUAAUCCAUGGCCCCUGCUUACCAGAGCAGGUGAGAGGUUGGUCUUACUGUAAUUAUAAAAGAAGAAUUUUUAUUGAAUAAUUGAACUUCAAUUAACAAUGAAAAGACCUCUCUAUUUAUAAUAGGACAAACUUAUCUCUCAAGUUAACUUAAAAGUGAAACUAAAUUACAAUUAUACUAAAAAUAAAAAGUUAAAACACAUAUUAUAAUUGGCUCCAAUUAAAAAAUAAAAAUAUCAAUAGACUUAAAAUAACAAAAUCUUAAAAUUUUUAAAUAACGUCCUACAUCAUAAAUGAACUUCUCUAAAUAAAUAUUCUCAAGUAUGAAACCCUUGGGAAAAAAAAUGCAUGAAUGUGUAGAAACAGUGAAAAAAAGAGAAAGAGAGGAGCACACUGAAGAGAAAGAGAAUCAUAGACUUCACGUAAAGAAUCAAAGGGAAAGGUUAAGAAAAUAGAUCCUGAAAAUCCGGUAAUGAUAUAUCUUGUCGGCAAAUUUUUGUUGAUUAUUGAUUCCUAGUUAAUUAGCUUAGCACCAAAGGAUCCAGUAGAGUUAAAGAUUGAUUGAAUUGAGUUAAAAGAGUGUGCACAUCCACAACUUUUAGCUCAGUGGGGUCUAUUUUUGUGUUUGUCCAAAGAUUAGAGGCAUGCUUCACGGACACUAUCGUUUGUAGUGGCUGGAGGCUUCUGCGUUUUAUUUUAUGAGCAAAGAUGUAUGUUUAUAUGCAACAAGAGCCUGCAGUUCAUAUUGGUCAUGUUAAUUUGUCUCCAUGCAAGAGUCGUAUCUUUUAAGCCGCUUGAAAACUUGACAAAGAAAUCAGAUUUUUUUAAUGGAACAACAUAUUUUUUUUUCUUUUUCAUAUUAAUAUGUUACAAUUAAAAGAGUAUAGAUAUUUACUAUUAAAAAUCUAUUAGAAUUAAUCUACAAUAAUUUUAGAGUUAAAAGAAAUAUGAAAUCUCAGUAUAGGGAGCUGAGACUCAAUCUUGUGCCUAGGAGUAGCUUCAUGUAUAAGUGAGAAGGUAGUCGCCUAUAACUCCUUAUCUUAGAAAUGCCUCAUUUUUUGAGAAUUCCUUAAUAAUUCUCUAAUUGAUAAAAUAUUUUUUUUCUAAAUCAUAUAUGGCAGGAAAUAGGAAGGCCUAUUAGACAUAUCUCUAAAUAAUAAUUAUCGUACAAUUAAGAAUUAUUCGUUUAUAAAAUCUAUAUUUGGUGACGUUAGUAUUAUAUAGAUUUAAUCAAUAAUAUCUAAUCAUUAAUUCAUUCAGUAUUAGUUUUUCCGAGAAAAAAAUUAAAUUCUUUAUUUUUUUAAAUUUCCUAAAAAAAUUAAUUAUUUAACAUUAGAAUCUUUGACUUUAAGUAUUUUAGUAUUCCUUUUAGUUUCUAUUAAAAACCUUAUAAUCUCAAAAAUUGAAAAACUUUAUUGCCCUUUUCUCUACAAAAAAAAAUAAAUUAUUACAUUCAUUGAAACAAAAAGUCUAUAUCUAUUAUUUUAUCAUCAAUUCAUCAUCUUAACUUUGCAUAUGCUACCAUUCUAAAUAUUCUAUUUGAAAAUAUUAUUGUUUUUAUUUGUUUGUUUAUUUUUUUAAUAAUUUUAAUGAAAGUAAAAAAGAUAUCUUUUGACUUUUAUUUAAGUUUUAUUUUUGAAAUUUUUAGGAUCUUUUAAAUUAUUGUUGGAAUUGAAUAAUUAAAGACAGAAUGAAUUUUGAGCCCUUUUAUUUUUCCUUGAGUAUUGAAAUUGCUGAAUAAAAAAAAGGCCCUAUAAAAUUUUUUACCUAUGGUCCCAAAUACUCUAAAGUCUGCCCUGUUUGCACACUCAAAAUUGAGUUUGAUCUGAUUUAAGAGCCUUUUAAUCCACAUUGUGGAAAAAGAUUCUAGACAAUCAUAUUUUUCAAAAUUAAGCUAAAAUACAUACAAUAUUUAUUAAAAAAAAUCAGUGCAGUCAUUCUUUAAUUUUGUUGGUGAACCUCAAUUGAACAAACGAUCUUUGUUGAUAUAAAAUCUACAUAUGUAGUUAAGGAGGGAAGAACAUUUUAGAUUCUUAUCGCAUGGUUUAUAAGUGUGUUAGACAACAAGCUGUUGGUGGUAGAAACCACAUAUAGAGCAGUGUGGACAAAUGCCCCUGCCAUGUGUAAUUUUUUUAAGAGAAUUACUUUUGAAUUGCAACCACUUUUUUAUUUUAAUUUCCCGAUUAAUUUAUUUUUUGUUUUCCCCCAUAGUGUUUGAAUAAAAUACAAAAACUUAGGAACAAAAUCAAAUUUUCAUCACCAACAUUAUUUUAAAAGGGUAGAUUAGGUGCAAAAUUAAAUGAAAAUACUAAAAUAAAUACCAAAUUCAUUUUUAAGUAAAUUAUAUAUACUCCCACUGCUUCAAAAUUCUGGCUCUACCACUACCUGCCAUGACCAUUCCAUUAAAAUGGUAGCUAUUUUCUUGAUUAUGUUUUUUACUAAUAAAUGAAAAUGAGUUAUAUAUAUAUAUAUAUCUAUUUGGUCCAAACACCUAUAUUUUAUUAAAGUUCAUGAAAGUUAUUACACUAUAUGGUGUAAUAUCAUAAUAACAUUAUACUAUUAAAAUGUAUAGUGUAAAAGCUUUCUUAAACUUUAAUAAAGUUUAGGAUCCUAAAUUAGAUAAUUUCUCUACAUAUAUAUGGAUGCAUCUAGUCUAAAAUCUUAGAUUUUUUUAAAGUUCAAGAUCUCAAAUUAGAUAAUUUCUCUACAUAUGUAUGGGUGCUCAUUUAGUUUAGGAUCCUGAAUUGAAAAAUUAGUUUUAUGUAUAUAAUGCUUAUCUGUUCCCUUAUCUUAAACUUUAUUAAAAUGGGAAAAAGCUAGUAGUAUAAUUGUAUUAUAUUAUUACGCUAUAUAAUGUAUUAAUUUUUUUCAGAUUUUAACAAAGGCUAAAACUUUGGACCGGAUAAUUUUUAGUAUGUGUGUGUAUGUAUAUAUAUUAUCUAUAUAUGAUGUGAAAGGAGUAACGCGGUAUGUGACGUGUGCUGACAUGUCAUCGAGUAGAUGACGCGAGUUUGAAUAAUAAAAAAAGAGUUUAUAAGUGUCAUAAGGGGUGUUGGUGUGAUUUCUAAUCCAAACGAACAACCGCAGGAAAGAUAUAGGGCUAGAUAUUUUAACUUCCCAAUAUACUUUUGAAAGGGAAAUUAGAUAAAAUUAGAAAAUGAAAUUAAUAAAGAGUAAUGAUAUUUGGCCGAAAGAGUAACAGGGGGAUAGAUACAGUGUCACUAGGCAUUGCAUAAUAACAAUGAAGCACCAAAAUGGCACCCUGUGCAUGCACAGUAACGUCUCCAUGAAAAUUUGCUUAGAUAUCAUUAAUCAUUAAUGAAUUUUGAGAAAAUUUAAAAAGAGUACUUGAUUAAAAAUAUCACAUCCUACAUUAUUAUUAUUAGGCAAGAUACUCGAGAAUAUACUUAAGUAAGCAUAUGUGUUAAUUGUUAAUUGUACAUAAUGUUUAAAAUAGACAAUAUCUAAUAAUUUAAAAAAAAAAUAUUUACAGUGAGUCGAUAAUUACGGAUUUGCGUGGAAUAUAUGCAACAAUAUUUGAUGAUUUUUACUAAACUUAGACUGAUGAAUUAAUGUUGAUCAGUCAAAAACCUGAUGCAAUAAAGAUAUUAAUUUCAAUUUUCAUUUUAAAUCCCAAUUGAAACAAAUUCUUCUUCUUCAACAUUAUGUACAUAUAUAUAUUAGUCCAAAAUUCCCUCAACUUCUCAGUUGAAAUUAUGUCAAAAUGAUGAAUAAACCUACUUUAAUAUAAUAAUAUUUAUUUAGUAAUGGAUCUUUUAAUCCGCAGCUUAAAUUGAAUUUAAUUUUGUAGACCUCAUUAUGGAGCCGUAAGAAUAUAGUUUCACCUGUAAGCAUAAGUUAUUGUCUAAUGGAAGUUAAACUACAUUAAGCAUAUUUUAUUAUAUUUAGUUAAUUACAUUUUUUAUUAUUUCCUUUUUCUCUCUUUUCUAUCGUUUUCCAAUUCUUUUAGGUAUUGACCAAAUGCUCUGUUCCCUUUUUCCCAUUCCCCUAAUGUCACCCUGUCAACAUGUCAAAAUAUUUUAUUAGAAUUUUGUAUAUUAAUACAUAUGAGUCAAAUUUCAUUAAAAUUUUAAACCCAAACAAAUUCUUUGAAAUCUAAUGAUGUCUAAGUAUAAUAAUACACAUAUAAUAAUAACACUAUUCUAGGAUUCUCUUCAUUUGUGAGUCCCAACUUUUAUGCGUGUCAUUGUCUUAAACCCCACCACUAAUUACUCUCUAUCUCCAUAGCCAAACAAAUGCCGAAGGUAGAAAAGAAAGAGAGGAAAAAAAUUCCUAAAAGACAAAAACCAAACCACCUUUAAGAAAUCAACAACCUUAAGUGUGCAAGCACAUAUUAAGUCUUGAAUAUAAACCAUCUCAAGAUUGAAAUUCAAGGGAUUCUCUGAAGAGAGAUGGGUUUAAGGAGCUACCAUGUAGAAGAUAACAAUUUGUGCAGCUUUCAAUCUCCAACUUUCAUUGAAUGGCUCAAACCAUCUUCAUCGUCAUCUUCUUCUUCUUCUUAUAGUUCAUAUGUGACUCAACAAGCUCAGUUGACAAAUCCCAUGAUGACCAUCUUAAAAUUCCCACCUGUUUAUCAGCAACAAAAGCAACAGCAGCAACCGGAGAAUUUGGACGAGGGGGUUCGAUGUUUGCCUCUUCUUAGUAGGUUUAAAGAGAAGAAAGCUUUGAAGGAAGAAGAAGAAGAUAUGCAAGUGCAGGAGACUAAUCUUGGUGUUAAACAAGAAAAGAUUGAAAAAGUUACUGUGGCCUUGCACAUCGGAUUGCCUAACACCGGAGAUUCUGAUGCUGAGAGUAAGGAUUUUGAUACUAAGCAAGAAGAAAUGAUCAGUAGGAAAAGCUUUCAUGGAUGCUCUUUGAACAAAGAUUCUAGGUUUUGGAUCCCAACUCCUGCACAGAUCCUAGUCGGUCCGAUGCAAUUUGCUUGCUCCAUAUGUAGUAAGACCUUCAAUAGGUACAAUAACAUGCAGGUUAGUUAAAUUAUUAAUUCUCUUCUUGAUUUCUAGAACCCUUGAUUGCUUUUCAUUUACUUACCAAUAUUCUUUUAUCUUGUGGUGCAUGAUAAAUUUUCUUGAGAUGAUAUAGCCCUUCUUGUGUUUUUUGGAUUUCUUUAUAAAUAAAAUUACAAUUCCGAUAAUUAAGGAAAAUGUUCGACAAGUUAAGCUUAUGUACUGUUAAAUGUUAAUGCAUAUAUAUUUUUCUUUAAUCCUGUUUCAUUGCUUCUUUGAUUCAUAUAUUCACUAAGUAUGAACUAUUUUCCUAUUGAAGGCCAAGAGGCCGUGUGAAAGCCCCAUAAGAAAUCUAGAUUAAAUUUGACUUCUAAGUAAGAGAUUAAACAAAUAUCAAAAUGAAAGGAUCCUAACAUUUGAGUCUGAUUUGUCCUAAUGCUAUGUAUCACUUAUCUAUACGAUGAUGAAUUUCAUCCGCAUACAAAAUUACUUAAUCACUAUUUAAUGAAUGAAUACUAUAUCAGUUGAUAAUCAAAUUGACACUUAAAAUUUUCGGAUAACUAACAUUAUUCUAUUGAAAUAUAUAUAUCACAACGCUACAAAUGGUUACCAAGCAUAAUUAUAACAAAAAUAUGCAAGUAAUAAUCAAAUAUAAUCUUUAAAAUUAAUAGUAGAAGAACAUGUUUGUUGAGGUAAAUUCUAAAGUUCAUUAUGCUAAAAAGAGAGGUUAGAAGGCUUUUGAGAUUAUAAUUGCUUUAAUUUCUAAGUGUUAACCUUUAACAUGCCUCGAGAUCAUAUAAUAGUUUAAAGGCUUUCACGUUGAGAGUUGUAUAUUACAAAAUUUCAAGAUCAUUCUAAAAUUUGAGGCUAGUGGUGAUUAUAUAAAUAAAAUUAAACAAUAUAUAACAUUAGCAAAUGAAAGCACAGGGUUAUGACACUUCGAAGCUCCUCUCUGAUCUCUCUUUAGGAUUUGAGCAUCCUAUCCUCUAAUUUGUAAAUAUGAUAACAUUCCCUUUGCCUUUAGUAGUGUAAAGAUUCGAUAAUUGGUAGUCUAAAUCCCGUUUCUUUUGACAAUCGUCCUUCAUUGCCUCCCUUUAGGGUGAAAAGCUAAUGAGGAAAGAAAGUAAUUAAAUUGGGCUUGGAGGAGAAUUUAAAAGAUUAUACAAACGAUAGUGAGGGAAGUUAGUAAUAAUGAAUGAGGGCAAUAUAAGGCUCAUUUGAAGUUUUACAUAUGACUUUGGAUACUCUUUCUCCAAUUAAUAAUUCUCAACUUUUUAUUACUUUUAUCAUUGCUGCUCCACAUCUUAAGAAAACCAAGCUUAAUUAGUUGUCAGUUUUUGAAUGAUACAUUAAACAUUCUGAAUUACUUUACCUCUUUGCCAAGUUAUAUAUUCUCCGGAAUAUGCCCAUCUUGUGUUUCAUAACACUCUUAAAUUAUCAUUUAAUCUCAUGAAUAACAUUUUAUGAAGUAUGAGUAAUCCUUUUGUCAAAUUCUAAUGUUUGAUUAAAUUUUAUUAAUUAAAGAGUAGUGCUCCUUAAAUUCUAGAGUUUGAGUUAAGGAUUCAAAUCCUCUCUUAAUCUUUUUUUUUUUUAAUUUUAUAGAAGAUUAAUACACAUGAUAUUUAAGUCUUUUAAGGGCUAGGAUUUGAUUUACUUUUUAUUUUCGUUUUAAAUACCAAAACUAAUUAUUUUGUGACCAACAGAAAAUCCUAAUACUAGUCAAUGUUAACUCUAUAUCAAUCAUCUAACUCUCCACUUUCUUCCUCAGACCCCCCUUUUUUUUUCAAAUUCUUUCAAAGUUCUCAUCUUUCUUCUUCAUACAGAUAAACUCUCAUAAUCUAUCACCCAUGUCAUUAUCAGUUCUUUCUUUUUUGAUUUAACUCCCGCUUCUCUUACUUUGUAGUUGGUUUCGAUACUAAGAAUUAUCACAAUUAGAUUAAAUUCGAAAGUAAUAGAUAUUAGCUCUAUGUAAAUAAAGUUGUCUGUUUAAUGAAGUUAUUGUUUUGAUUUUCUUUUAACUUUCUCCUCUCUUUUCUUCUAGUUCUCUGAAAGUAUUAUUGAAGAUCUUUAAAAAAAUUUCUGUACUCUAUAGUUAAUAACUUAUAAUCUAGAUAAACUAGACGGCUAUAAUAAUCCGAGAAUGAGAAACGCGAGAAUCAAAAUCCCCAAAGAUGAAAAAAAAUAAAAAAUAUAACUAAUGAAAAAAAAAAAAACUAAAUGUUAGGUGAAGUCUUCGUUUUUAAGUUUUGGAAAAAAAAUUGCAAUUCCUAAAACACCGAAAGAAGUCGUAGGUUGAAAUUAGAUUUAACAUCCGUUAGUUUUAGAGUUUUAGUUAGUCACAAAAAUGUCUUUUUUGGUAUUUAAAAUGGGAAAUAAAAAGUAAAUCAAAUCUUAAUCCUUCAAUCAGAGGGUAGUGCUUCAAUCCUCUGGGUUUGAGCUAAUCCCAGUCAAUCAAUAUAGUUUUAAAAUUUACCCACAAAUUUCCUGUUGACUAUUGUAUGUUAACAACUGUUAAAAUAUACUUAAUUCUCUUCUUUGUUUUUCAUCUAUUACAUAUAAGAUUUGUUUGAAUUUUAAGUUAUAUUAUACAAAAAGAAAAAAAAAACUAUUUUACUAUAAGGACUACCGGAGUAAUUCGCCCAAAACCAAAAGACUAAAAGGGAUUUAUAGGCAAUUAGAAUCUUUCCUUAACACAAUGUUCAUAGGAACUUGCUAAAAAUAUUUCUUUUUAACAUAGAAAUUUCAAAUGCAUGAUUUUUUCUUAUUACAGAUGCAUAUGUGGGGGCACGGAUCUGAAUAUAGAAAAGGACCAGAUUCACUCAAAGGGACACAGCCAGCGGCAAUGCUUAGGCUACCAUGCUAUUGUUGUGCUCAAGGCUGCAAGAACAACAUCAAUCAUCCAAGAGCUAAGCCAUUGAAAGACUUCAGGACACUUCAAACUCACUUCAAAAGAAAGCAUGGUGCCAAGCCAUUUAUGUGCCGAAAAUGCGGCAAGACAUUUGCAGUGAAAGGAGAUUGGAGAACCCAUGAAAAGAAUUGCGGCAAGUUGUGGUAUUGUACUUGUGGUUCUGAUUUCAAGCACAAGAGAUCACUUAAGGACCAUAUUAGGUCAUUUGGCAAAGGCCAUUCUCCUCACCCAUCCCUUGAUGGAUUUGAAGAUGAGAAGGAGUGCGUCACCACUGGCUCCGAAGAUGAAGUUGCUCGCAGCUGCUAGUUAAUUUCUCAAGAUUUCAUAAGGUUUUAAAAGAGUUUUUUUUUUUUUUAACGAAUUUCUUUUGUGUCGGCGAUCAUUAAUUAGUAGCCAGGUCUCAUCAUCUAAGCUUGUGCUCAGUAACAAAACAUUCUCAACAAAGGCGAAUGAGGCAGCACAGGGAGCGAUUUGCUACCGAGCACUUGCUGAUCAAUGAGCCACAUAAAAAAUAAUCUAGUUUGCAUGCUUAGUGAAAGAAGAAUAAGAAGAUUACCUCAAGUUUUGAAGUAGAUGAAUUUUCUUCUCCUAGCCCUAGUAACACAAUUGUAUUGUUGAUUAUAAAGCUUGUCUGUGUUACUUCUUCAACGGAGAAAAUUUAUCCGCUUCAUUACUGACUGGUAAUCUUCAUAUGUAUCAGGAUUGUGUUUUUAUUACGUAUAAUUGUUUACGUGUGUAUCUACCCUCUCUCCCUUAAUAUAACACAAUAUUGGUACCUUCUUACAUUAAUCAGUAGUUCAUUUCUGUGUUCUAUCUAAUAUCUUCUACUCUUAUAUACUAGAAUGUCGUGUUUUUAAUGUUGUUAAUCAUAAAAAAACAAAUUGCUAAAGAGGUAUAGUGUUGAUGGAAACAAAGUAAAAUUAGUGUCGUGGUAAAUGGCAUUGGUUUUACCUUAUUUCUAUCAGCACUGUACUAAAUUUUUCUAUCUAAAACAUCAUUGCUCAUUCAUUAAUGAUGAUCUGUGGAUCACACCAUGUGACAUUACUCGUCAUAAAGCAACGCGUUUUGCUUUUAAAACCCUCUAAAAAGCCUCAUACUGUUUGAUAAAUACCUCACAUAUAAAACCUAUUAAUCAUUUCUCACCAGAUCAUGCGAGAUUUUGACAACCCUCAGUGUCGCAUGAAGAUAUUAGUGAAAAAUCGUUAGAAAUAAUUAGAGUAAAGGCAGAUUGUGGGGUUCCUCUUGCUCUUUUGGGAUUUGGCUAAAAUAAUGAAAUUAGUGCACACACGUUAUGUCACAGAAAAGAAAAAGGAAAAAGUUAGAUUAUUUUGCUUUAAUCAAAUUAGAUUAGAGAUCAUAGACUUUAUUAAACCUAUUCUGUAAAAAUGCACCAACGUGUCUCUAUUUUCAAAGGCAUGGCAGGAAAGUUAGUGAGAUUCCAACUUAGGCCAAACCAAAUUGUCCAACUAAUAGACUAACAUCAACUAAAGAAUGAUUAACUAUUAAUUAACCUGAAAAAAAGGAGAAUUCUGUAGUCUUAUACACAGUGGACUUUGAUGAAAGAUCAUGUGAAUAAUCAAAUCUCAGAAUAAAUAAAUAAACAUAAUCAAGUACCUUCAAAUGAAUAAUAACCAAGAAAAGGUUACUUUUUGCAUAUGUGAAAAGAGGACUUUUUAUUUUUCUCUCUCUCAAGAAAAGACACAAGAGUGUAUGUAUUUUCAUCAGACUUGCAAAAGAGACCACGAGAGAAAUAGGGAAAUUGUUAUUGUUAAUUGAUUUAUUGGUAGGCUUGACCACCCAAAAAGUUGUAGGGAAAAUGUGUGAAAAGUUCGAUAUUUUUUUGAAGAUUUUGGGACCGCCACUAUGCUUUGUCGGGAGAGAAAAAUAGAUAGCUAGGGCCAUAGUGAAAAAUAAAAACCAAAUGGUUAAAAACCUGUUCAAUUAGCCGCAUUGUUCCUUGUUGCUAAACUGCAUGCCCAAUUUGUACCUUAAUGAUUGGGUAUCAAACACUCGAGCAUUAAGCUAACUCAGACGGCCAGAGGAAGCCACGCAAUGGCUAUCUUUUCAGUAAAGGGGUUUAUCAAUUAUCAUAUAUAUAUGCACGUUUUCACUCUUUUGUUAAAAAUUAGGGAUUUAAAACAAUAGUUAGAAAAGUUUUGUGCUCAUACCCGAUAUGGUAACAAUAUCAUUUGCAUAUAUUGGUUUACUUAAUUAUUACGAUAGCAAAACGUCAUGCAUGCGUUCGGAUCCCCAUUGGACCGUUCAAUCUCACACCAAGCACAUCAACAAAGUGAUAUAUCCAGAUAAAUAAGAUUUUAAUAUGUGUUCAUGAUUUAAUCCCAAAAUUGGAAUUUUACAUGUCUAUAGGUCAUGAUUUUAUUGGAUGCAUGGAAUAGAAAGUCUUGAUUUUUAGCACAAAAACGGUCACAAUUCUAUUCAUAGGUUUUACAAAUUGAAAUGCAUAUAAUUUGUUAAGAGAAUCAAGACUUAUAAACUAGUCAAGAUCUCCCUCACUAACAUGCUGAAUAAUGUGGAAUGUUAGUUUAUCACACAGUAUUGCUUAGGCAAUUAGUUCCAUAGAAAAGACUCUUUCCUUUGAUAUAAAAAAUAAAGGUUGCAUCAAUUCGAAAACAAAAAUUUUUUUUAAAAAAAUUCUUCUUAUAAAGCGACAUUUAGCAAUUUAUAAAGAAAAAUGAUUUUUGAAUAUAAUCAGGACAAAAAGUGUGACAAAAUUUUUUGCCUUUAUGUGAAUUUUUUAAUAAAAUAAAUUAUUAAAAUAUUAUCUUAAAAAGGGGGAAACCUAUGGUGCAACUGUGGUACCGUGCCACGGUUGCAUCCAGCCGUUGGAUGCCAGUAGAUCCCACCAAUUCAAAUGCAUCCAACACUAAUUUAAGGUAGCGUUUACUUUUUGGAUUGAAUUGGGAAUCCUGGGGAGUGGGAAUCCUAGGAUUGGGAGUGUGGAGUGGGAGUGGGAGUAGGUUGUUUACUUACACUGGAAUGGAAGCAUGGAAUGGAGAUCAGAAUCCAAUUUAUGUGUUUACUUUGUCUUGGAUUGGGAGUAAAUAGUUUCAAAUUACAAUUUUAUCCUUAUUUAAAGAAUUAUAAUUUUUAAUUACAAAACUAAUAAAAAAUAUAUUUAAUGAAUAAUAUUUAUUUUAUUAUAUUUGUAAAUUUAUUAUAAUUAUUAAUAUUCUUAAUUAUGAACAAUAAAUUAUUAAUUGUAAUUUUAAUAUAAAAUGAAAUGUUAUUUUAUUUUAUUUAAUAUAAUUAUAUUAAAUUUAUUAUUAUAUAAAAUAAUAAUAUAAUAUUAUUUAGUACAAAAUUAAUAUUUUCUUAGAAUAAAGUAUUUAUUAUUAUUAUUAAAUAAAUAUAGUACCCACUCCCACCUCCCCCAAUGGGAGUCCCACUCCCACUCCCCACUCUAAAAAUGGAUGGGGCCCACGGAGUGGGACUCCCAAUCCCUCCCCAUUUUAAGUAAGUAAACGCUGGAGUGGGAGGAAUCCACACUCCUCACUCCCACUCCAGCAAGUAAACACAAUAUAAGUGCAUCCAACGGCUGAAUGCAACUGUAGCACGAUACCACAGUUGCACUGGAGUCUAAUCCCUUAAAAAGUCACCCAAAAGAAAAAAAAAAACACUUUAUCCCGUUUUAUCCUCCUUUUGAUCAAAGUGCCAACAAGACGAAACCAAAAAGCUUGUUAUCUAUUCAUUCUCCCAUCAUUUAUGGCUCGAAGCCCAAACCUCAAAACUAUACAAAGACCAAACCCAACAUAAAGACAAGCUACGCUGAAGUACCGAACCCCCCAUAACAUUGGAUUGUGGAUCGUGGGGGAAACAACCCAAAUAUGUGCCAGCUAUAAUGUAACCGUGCUUUUAUACAUUAUCUUUUGUCUUUUUGUGAUCCAAUUAUUGAAUUCAAUUCAAGAGUUACAAAGUUAUUCCAACGGCAUGGAUGCGCUUAUUUGGUUAUUAACGAUACAGUUCCUUCUGUUUACUACAAAAAUAAGGAAAGAUUAAGUUUCAAAAUUUUGAUACAGUAGACCAUUAAAAUAUUUUAUUAUAUGGGUCAAAGGCAAUUUAGUAAAUGAACAUAUUUAUAUGUUAAAAACAAUGUAUGGAUGGAUUAUUUUAAUUUACUAAAAUACUCUCCACUCCCAUUUACUUAAAAUACCAACUGGAUUAUAAUAAUAUUAUCUUGUUUUUAGUGUAAUACUAGAUUGGACAAGGUUUUAUAAAAUUUUGACAAUAUUAAAAUGAAAAAUAAAUAAAUAUUAAAUAAAUUCUUGGAUAGUCAUUUAAAUUUCAUUAUAGAGUUUAUAAAUAAUAUUUUUAAAAUAAUAAUUUUCUAUAUGUAAAUUUGAAAUUACGUAAAAUUACUUAUAGCUUAUUACACGUAUGAAGCUGAUCAAUUAUUUAUUUAAUGUGAAAAAAAUAAAUUAUAUAAUAUUUAUUCUAUUACUUAAAUUUAAAAUUAUAAAGAAAGAAAACUUAAAUUUAAAAUUGUAAAGAAUGAAUAAUAACUUAAAUUAAUAUAUUAUGGGAGAAUACCUUUAAAAAAACAUUAAAAUUAACUAACUUCUUAGGCUUCUAAUGUAACAUUUUAAUUUUUUGUUGUUAACAUAAGCCAAAAAUUUAGUUUUAAAAACUUAUUCUAGGUUCUCCUUGGGGUUAAAAAAAAUAAAUCAUGAUCACAUGAUAAUUUGGUAGCAUAAGCUAUAUUAUUUUUAGUUUACUUAUUCAUACCAAACACCUUAUUAAGAUUAAAUUUUAGUAAAGUAAACCUAACCCACCGUCUUUAAUUGCAUUCAACAGAUUCUAAUUGAUUAGAUCUUAUUAUAGAAAGUAAGAUAUAACUCUCUUUUUUUAUUACAAUGGUAAAGAAGAAAACAUAAACGCAAUAUAUUUCUUUUGAGAAAAGUCAAGUGUUAUUUUUAUGAGAUUUUGUGUUUAAGAAAUUAAUCUAAUGUAUGUAGUUAGAAGACUUUUUUUAUGUUUUAGAAGAAUUAUAUGUUUGAUAAUGAAUAAAUUAAGAUUUAAAGUAGGACAAACUAAUUUAAGAAGGAGAUAGAGAGAAUAAAUUUUUUAGAAUUUGAAAAUUAUUAUAUUUUAAAAUUAUUGUAUUUUAAUUGGGGCUUAUUACAUAAAAUUAUUAAAACUUAUAGUUUUUAUUAUUUACAUAAAAUAAUAGGGAUUGCUCAAGAAAAAGCCAAAUAGAUUUUUUAAAAUUUUGAAAUUAUUAUAUUUUAAUUGGGACUUAUUGCAUAAAAUUUUUAAAACUUAUAAUUUUUAUUAUUUACAAAAAAUAAUAGGAAUUGUUAAAGAAAAUAUCAAAUUUGCGUGUUUAGUACAACGGUUGCAAAGUAAUUUUGUCCCCCAAAUAUAUAUCAUUUCUCAUUUCUUACACACACACACACACACAACUUAUCAUAAUAUUUCCAUCCAUCAAAACUUUUGAAUCUAUCAAAUGAAUGGUUCUUUUAACUUAUAUUAAUUUAAAAUUAAUUUUUUAUGAAUAAUUAAAGAAUUUUAAGAGACUAAUUUUGAGUCAAUUGUUGCUUACAUGUAUAAUAAAACUUGGCGGUUGCCAUGACAAACCCAUUUCUGAUUUGCCCCAUGUAGUAUGAGUGUACACCCCAAGACACAGAAUCAUAACUCUGCCUCUUCAAGUUCCAGGUGUUGGCCUGGGGAAGCUAUGAAGCUGCCAAGUUGCCAAACAUUUGUGCAUGCAAAAUGUUAAGAGCAAACUAACAGUAGGGCACAGAAUAAACGGUUAUGUGUCACCACCUGUCAACGCUUUAGGCUGUUAAAAGCACCCAUUUGGACACGUGUCAUUCGAGUUCUAUGCAUGAUAACACACGUCCAAUUCUGCGGAUGGCCACAAUUUAGUCUUACGUGUCAAUACAUUAUGCUGCCUGAAUCUCUUAGCUUAAAAUGUCUACGAUGUAGCAGCGAAGAAACUCUCCAGUUUCAUCGUUGUUAAAAUUCUGUGUAGUAGUAAGUAAUGGAGAGAAAUUAAAGGCUGAAAGAUGAAGGUUUGUUGUAAUAUUACUAAUUCGUCUUCUUUUAUGAGAAAUAAGAUUAUCAUAAAAGUAAUAUGAAUUGCUUUGUUGAUGUUAAUGUUAAGGUUCAUGAAACAAGGUCGCAUGCUCAUGCGUCUUCUGAUGAAGAGAAAGUGAUGACAAGGAAGCAGAAAGCAGAGAACAAAACACAAGAAGCUACAGAAACUCCUCCGAAGAAGACCAAGCAAGAAAAUAAUGGCAAUGGCGGCCAUGCUAAUGGGAAACGUUCUGGUGAUGUUACUGCUGAGUUUGAAGAAUUUUGUAAAUCAAUCGAGGGCCAACUUUCUGCUGAACAAAUGAGAGAAAUUCUUGAACUCAAUGGCCAAGAUUCGUCUGGCUCAGAUGUUGCUGUUGUCACUAAAUGGUUAGUAUAUAAAGCUAUGUGUGCUAUAAUGGUGUAUGCAUUAGGCCAUUUUUAAGUUUAUGAAGAAUUUGAUUCCAUGUGUGAAAUUCUUUUUGAAUUAAUUGGUACAGCCUAGACAUGUUGUUUUAUGGGCCGUUAGACAAAUGUCCAGUAUGCAAUGGCAACUUGGAAUUUGAUGGUAAAAGAUAUUCAUGCAAAGGAAUGUACAGUGAGUGGUCUACUUGCACAUUCAGAACAAAAGAUCCACCUAGGAAGCAGGAACCAACAAAAUUACCUGAUUCUGUUCUUAAUUCUCCUAUUUCAGAUGUAAGCUUCUGUAUAGCGUCAAUUUUACUACUGAUAAUAAUUUCUUAGUAACUCUUAUUUGAGCUCUGUUGUAUCUUGCCACGGUAGUUGGCAAAGAGGUAUCAAGACCCUAGUCACAGGCCACGCAGAGAUGUAGGUGCUGCUGUCAAACCCUUCACAGGAAUGACUAUUUCGCUUAUGGGUCGUCUUUCUCGUACACAAGUAUGUACCAAGUCAAAUGUUGUUCCUCUUAAUGUUUAAGGUUAAUAUGAUUUCCACGAUACUAAUUGCAAGUAAUUUGACUAUUGAUGUAGCAAUAUUGGAGAACAACAAUUGAAAAACAUGGAGGGAAGGUUGCCGCCUCACCUAUUGGUUGUUUGCUCCUCCUUUUUUAGGUCUUCAAACUAUUUAGAGGACUCCAUUUUCAUUGCUGAUCCUAUUCUUGCUCUUAAUGUCGUGAUGAACUCCAUAGGCUUGAAUUGCUUGGUUGCUUCACCUGCUGAGAGAGAGCGCGGUGGCUCAUCUAAAUUAGUGGAAGCAAUGUGAGUUCUAAAGUCAGUUAAAGAGCGUGUUAUGUACAGUUCAGUCUUUUGAACUUCAAGUGCAUAAAAUGUCAAAGUGAUGUAUUAAAUUUGCUUUCAUACCCGAGCCGUGUUCUAUUUCAAGUUGUAAAAGUUCGAAUUCAUGUAUGGCAAAAAACAGUUUGUUUAGAUCAAUACGUGUAAUUGUAACACAGGAUAUAUUAUUCAGUCCUGGAUUGCAAAUUCUUGUAGGGAAAGAGGCACACGUGUUGUUAGCGAAGGUUGGUUGAUUGAUAGCAUAGAGAAACAGGAGGCACAGCCUCUAGAAGCCUAUGACUUAGUACUGAUCUUGCCCCGGACAGCAAAGGAAUUCCCUGGGACAAAAUGGAUCCCAGUGAAGAGGCAAUUGAAUCUAUGGCAGCAGAAGUAAGUGUUAUUUCCCUCGUUCUUUGCAAGGAAACCAUUUCCAAGUUCUGAUUGAGUACUCUUUAUUGCAGCUCAAAUUAUAUGGAAAGAGAGGAGUCUAUAAGGAUACAAAAUUGCAGGAGCAAGGUGGAAAGAUCCUUGAGAAAGAUGGGAUUUUGUACAACUGUGCCUUCUCCCUAUGUGAUCAAGGGCGAGGGAUGAAUCUGUAAUGUCACAAAACACUGCAUUUCUAAAUUUGCUUUGUUUUUGCUUUAUGCUGAGUUUUGUGUAUGAUUAAUGUCAGCUAUUGCAUCGUGCAACUGAUCACAGUACCGGAUAGCAACUUGCACCUUUAUUACAAGAAAGGGAAAGUUGGUGAUGAUCCUAAUGCUGAGGAGAGGCUUGAAGAAUGGACAGGUGUGGAUAAUGCCAUCAAGGAGUUUGUAAGGCUCUUUGAGGAGGUAACCGGCAAUGAAUUUGAGCCAUGGGAAAGAGAAAAGAAAUUCCAGAAAAAGCCGUUGAAGUUUUAUCCAAUUGACAUGGUACAAUCUCUUGGUCUUCUCAACCUGCCAAGAAAUGAACUGUUUGUUUUGCGAAGGUAUCGAACUUUUUUUAAUUUUUUCAAUUUUUAUUUUUUGGUUUCACCUAACAGGAUGAUGGCGUUGAGGUGAGACAUGGAGGACUUGGUAUGAGACAACUUGGAGUUGCAGCAGCACAUAGCAAACUUGAUCCGGUGGUUGCUAAUUUUAUGAAGGUUCUCUGCAGUCAAGAGGUCUAUAGGUGCAGUUCCUCCAUCAAGAGUUCAUUAUUAUCUAUUUACGCUCGUCCAUCUUUUUGGUAGUGAGUCCAUAAAUCUAAUUUUGGUAUCCUGCACAGAUAUGCUCUGAUGGAAAUGGGACUUGAUGCUCCUGACUUGCCUAUAGGAAUGCUUUCUAAUGUGCACUUGAACAGAUGUAAGAACCUUUUGAAUCUACUAUCCCUGCUUCUUUUACCUUAUUCUCUCUAGCUUUUGAUUCAUCCUCCCUUGAGUAUUAAUAUGACAUAAGCAAUUCUUCAGGUGAAGAGGUUCUCCAACAAUUCAUUGAAGCAGUGAAAUCAACAAAAGAAACAGGACAAAAAGCCGAGGCUAUUUGGACAGAUUUUAGCAAUAGAUGGUUUACUCUCAUGCACUCGUUAAGGCCUUUCAUCUUCAGGGACAAUCAAGAAAUUGCAGACCAUGUAAUGCUAUUGGCAGACAGUAUAUCACUUCAGUAUGAAGUAGGUUGUCCUUUUCUUUAUAAAUUACUUGAUGCUACAUUUUGAAACCUGCAGGCUGCAUCUUCAUUUGAGGCUGUUCGGGACAUCACUGUGGCUUCUCAUCUUAUUGGAGAUAUGAGUGGUUCUACCCUUGAUGAUCCAUUGUCUGAUUGCUAUGAGAAACUGGCUUGCUCCAUUUCUGCACUGGAGAAAGAUUCUGAUGACUACAAGAUGAUUGUAAACUACCUAGAGAAGACUUACGAACCUGUCAAACUUGGAGACAUUGUACGAAUGACUCUAUUGUACGCAAUCUUGGUUAAUCAGUGUUCCAACUAUCUAGCAAUCAUGACAAGCUAUUUUGUAAUGCAGGAGUAUGGAGUAUCCGUUGAUAACAUUUUUGUCAUUGAAUCAAAUGCUCAACCUUCUUUGGACGAAAUAAAGAAGUUGCCUAACAAGGUCCUCUUGUGGUGUGGUGAGUUUGUGAAUCUUGAUUCAAGCUAUCUCUAAUUGUUAUUACUUCAACAGAUGGAAUAAGUGUUCUGUCUUUUUGUUGAACCGUAUUAGGUACCAGAAGCUCCAACCUUUUAAGACACCUGCAGAAAGGGUUCCUGCCUGCAUCUUGCUCUCUUCCUGUGCCCGGCUAUAUGGUAUGGCCAUACAUUACUAUGAAUUCUCUACCUAAGUAUUUAACCUUUGUAUUAUUCUGAGAUUGCUUUCUGUUUGUAUUAUUCUGAGAUUGCUUUCUGUUUAACAGUUUGGCAGGGCUAUUGUUUGUUCAGAUGCAGCAGCCGAAGCUGCCAGGUAUGGGUUCACAGCCGCAGACAGGCCAGAAGGAUUCUUAGUUUUGGCUGUCGCUUCAUUGGGAGAUCAAGUAACUGAGCUUAAGAAACCACCAGAGGUAGGUUAAAGAAGUUGCAGACAGUUGUUCUUGACAAUCAUAUAACCCUCAUUAACCCAUUUAUUACCAUGAGCCAGGAUACCAAAUCUUUGGAAGAUAAGAAGCUUGGAGUGAAGGGAUUAGGGAGAAAGAAAACAGAUGAAUCCGAGCACUUCUUCUGGAAUGACGAUAUCAAAGUCCCUGGUGGUCGCUUGAUUCCCUCUGAGCACAAAAAUAGCCCUCUUGAGUACAAUGAAUAUGCUGUUUAUGAUCCAAAACAGGUAAUGCCAUUGGUCUUAAUAUUAUUAUUUAUUAUUCACGGGAGCAGGUUAACAAUUAUCUUUCCACUGAUUUGAUAAUCUCACGGUUUUUAACAGACAAGCAUAAGGUUCUUGGUGGGAGUGAAAUUUGAAGAGAGAGGAGUGGAGAUGGAGCCAGCAGAAUGAACAAAGCGAAAUGGAAGUUAUGGAGGUGGUGCUAGCAAAGAGGAUGUAAGAUGCUAGCAAUGGGGAUGUAAAUAUUUCUUUUGUUUUCUUCUUUUUGGGGACUUUUUGUAAGGGAUUAUGUGGAAAGGGACGGUGGCUUUUUUGGGUAAAAGCAAACUCCACAAUAGGAGAGUUGUAAGUGGUGUUAACGGAGUUUGAAUUUUGAUGUAUGUACGAUGGAAAAACUCAACAUCAAUGUAAUGGCUUCUUAUUAAAUCAAUGAGAGUUGCUUCAAAAUGAAAGACUUCUUAGCGAUAAUUCUAUAGUAGAGGCCUGUUCGUGAAAGAGUCGAGAGUUUAUACUUGGCGAUAGUUGUAGAGUCAUCAGCUGUUUCUAUCAGUCAAGAUCUUGACUUAGGCAAUACAAACAGACGUUCACACAACAGAAAUUUUUAAUAGCCGACUCCAAUCGACUUGGAGCAGUCAGCGGUAAUUGUAUGAAAGGGAUCUGUCGGUGAACCUCCCUGAACGUUUUGUGUCCAUAAGUGCCAAGAACACAAGAAACGUUUGCCAGAUUUGAACUGAAAGAACUGUUCGUAAGCCUGCGCUGAAAGCGGCACAGUUUUCAUUUACAAUCUUGAGCUAGUUAGAGAAUCAGAUACCCAAGGAAUGCUGAAAUUGCAUCUGUAGCUUCUUUUCGCUUUUUGCAUACAGGAUGAUCGGAUAAUCCUUUCUUACUUGUUGAAUUGUUGGAGUUUAUGAAGUACAUCACAAUUAGGAAAGAAUCCGGGGAAUGGCAAAUAUCAAAGCAAACUUGGCUCAUAUUUGCGGGCUACGGGCCCUAAAUGAUCCUUUUCAUCUGCAGAAAAAACCACAUUUCCUGGCGCUUUUGCGUAAAAUUGGUCAAUGGGUAUUAGUCAUCGGCAAAGAUAAUGUUGAAGUGAAGUCCGUCAAUGUUAAUUUCAAACAAGAAUAUAGAUUCCGGUCAUAAAAGUAACACCCUUGAAUCACUACAAUAAUAAAAGGAAAGAGAGCGCACAGAACCACUGGAGAUAUACCAGUAAGGUACCUGCAUAUUUCAAUCAUGAAAUCAGAUUCCUACAAUGAACAUGCCUGUGACACGCCAAAAUCUACAGCUUAGUACACUUAUCUGCAUGACAAGCAUUUGGGAUGAUCUAUGCAUGUUAUUGCAUUGAACGUGGAGAUUUUUGACAUAAACAAUUUCAUUUAAAUGAAUGAGAACAAGUAACACUAACAUGGAUCUAAGUAACAAAUCUGCUUUGAUUUUCAUUUCGUGUUUACCCAAAACUACCUUCGAUAGUAUAGGGAAAGAAUAAGAAACAGAGUUCUUUGACAAUUGUCUUCCUUUGUCCGAUUAGUGACAUCCUACCGAUACUAUGACUCAACUCAAAAGAAACAAAUUAACAAUUUCCACAAAAGCAAGAUAUUGAAUCGGCCAAAAUUCAAUGAUGAACUACCACAGGAGGGAUCUUGAACUUGUCUGAAAUGAAAGGUACUGCCCGUUGAUUUUUCACUAGAUCAUGAUAGAACACAUACUCAGCAUUAUAAUCAUGCAAGUGAAGCUCAGCCUUUUGGUUAGUAUGAUAAUGAUGCUUCGCGGCAGCAGACUUGCCGAAACCAAAUAUGCUAACUUUAUCACAAAUUCCCAAAGAAAGCAUGACGGCUUGCAUACCAGAGGAGUAAUGAAACAGAGAGCCCUCGUGGGCAGAUCCCCAUUCCUCCAAUGACUUCCCCGUCUCCUCCACAAACCCUUUCAAUGAGUAAUACUUCACAAUUCUAGAACACAGCAUAUCAAAUCUUGGAUCCGUGAUGAGCAAAGGCGCUUUGUGAGAGCCAUUGCAUCUCGUGUAAUCCAAGAAAUGCAUCGGCUGACAAAUAUACAUUAUCAUUGGAACGUUUUCUCCGUAAGGGUGACAAAAACACCCUUCCCUCCUAGCACAAAGAUGCAAAAUAUUACUAUUUACAAACGAUAAACUAGUCUUCGACCCCACGUGUUGCUCAAAUCUCUCAAUCCUAGCAUUGUUCAAUCUUAUUACCAUCUCAUGACUAUCAAUCAAGUCCCCAUAGUUACUAUUCAACAAAAUCCCACUAUUCCCCACGACAGCACAGGACUCAUACUUCUUGUCCGAACCAAUUAACCCAUUGUGCUUAUCAAUACUAUGCUUAACUAAUCUAACCAAAUCAUUCAUCACAUCAGAUUGAAACUUUUUCUUUCUAGCCCAAUCAUUCAAAUUCCUUCUAAAAUCAAGCCAAUACCGAUAAAACAUCGGUGACCUGAGUGUCAUCGAAAUACCUGAAGAAGAAGAAGAAGACGACAAUCUGGACCGGGCAUCAUGAUGAAACCGCCGCCACGAGGCAAAUGUACGGUGCCUCCCUGGGCUAUCAAAGUUACCUUCCAAUAGUCUCUCAAUUUCCUGCUUAGAUUUCUCUUCACCUAAAUCAAUAGCGGCAAGUUUAAGAAAAGUGGAGUUAAAAACCGGGGCUUGUUCUUCAACUAUUACAAUCUUGUUUUCAAGUUCCAGCGAGGCGAAAAACCCGCCGCCAUGGACAGCGAUUCGAAAGAUCAAUGUAACAGCCAAGAUUGUGAGUAACAAAAUGGUGAAGACGGGACGCAGGGGCCUUUUCAUUUGGGAAAAAGAAUCGAGAAAACGAUUAAUGGGUAUUGCUAAAGAUUGCCAAAGAAUGCUUUUACCGAUCUUGAAAGUGAUUGUACCACGGAUCCAUCUUCAGCUUCAAGAAUCUUUGGCAUUAAAUGAAGCACAAAGUACUACAAGAAAGUAAAGUAAGAGUUGCAAAUGUGAGUGAUAUUGGGAUGUGGGGUUUGCUCAAGAGAUGGGAAUUUCAAUUUCAUGGUAGGUACUGAUGGCGAGUCUAAUGAACACCAACACUAACAGCCGACAUCGAAAUUGAAAAAACCCUAACAUCUAGAAAAGGGCCAAAAAAAAAUGAAGAUGAAGUACUGAUAUUUAGAGAAGAAGAAUCAUUCAUCCAUUCAUAUAUAGAUUCUCACUUUGAUAAUGGGGACCCAUGUGAUUUUUUUUUUUUUAAUUUCCUUUCUACUUUUUCAAUCCAACCCAUUUUAUAUCAUUGAUCAAGGGUUGAUCUGCAAUGUGCAUGUGCAACAUGACUUCAUCUGGCGUAGUGAUUUUGAAGUGGGCGGCAUCUUGUUUUUCAGAUAAAAUUAGGAAUUAGAUGCUUUUGUUCUAAAGUUUUAUUCCCCAAAAUACUUUUAAAUUCAAAGUAAAUUGUUGUAGAUCAAGAGAUAAAAAUAUACUCUCUAUCGUUUUCAAAAUUUGUUUCCACAACAAAAUUCUGCCUGUAUUUGAUUAUAACAACAAAUCAUAUGGUUCGUAUGCUCUGUUUAAUUUAACUAUGUUACGUGUUUAUUUAUUUAAACUAUUUUUUUAAUCUACUUUUGCCACUCGUUAUUGUUGAUUAUUUUUAUUUUAUAUGCGUCAUUGAUGUACAUGUUCAGUAAAGUUAAUUUGCCAUUAAAGUUUUGAUUCGCAACAUUUUAAUAAAAAUAUAUCGUUAGAUUUGCCGUAACCAGGGGAGGUUGGUGUAACAGCCAGCUGAAGCGAAGGCUGAUGCGACGCAAAUUUGUUAAAUUUGAUGAUUCGGAUAAAACCUGAAACUGCUCAGCUUCCAAUUUCCAAAUCCAAUUUGUUUUCUUCUUGUUCUAUUUUUCUGAAAGUGACUAUUUGGAAAUGUUUUAUGAUUUUCUGGUGAGUCUUCAAUGGGCCCCGUCCAUUAAUAACUCUGGUUUGGUGAUAAUUGCAAUAAAGGCAUUUAAUUUAAUUUAAUUUUUUUUUUCCUUAAAGAAUAUGAAACUUGGGGUUGGAGGACAAAGACAACGUCAACCUCAAUGACUUGAGUCGCUGGACACUGAAUUUCACAUCCAAAACGACGGUGUCAACUUUAGAAUUUCAAAAUUCAAAUGGCAAUUCCCACUAUUAUUGGUUAACAUUUCACAAGAAAGUAUGAAUAAUCUUUUUCCUUUGGGAGCUCAACAAAAGUAAAUAAAAAAUUAACCAAUAAAGUGUUGGCUCUACUGACAAUAGAGUCUCCUUAAGUGGUUUGACUGGAUUUGCUCCUUGGUUUGAGUCGUAGGGAAGUCGUCUUUGUUGAGAGAACUUGUGCCUCUCGGUUCGAGCGGAGACUUUUAGUUUGGGUUGUGGUACGAGCUUAAAGGUGCCUCCCACAGUUGGGGCCCUCCCCAAAAUACCUCGUGGUCAAAACAAAAAAAAAAGUAAAUAAAAAAUUCAUACUUUUUAAAAAUCUAAUUUCUUAACGUGUUGAUUUUUUCAAGCAAUAAUAAUACACUUUCAAAUUAUUUUCUAAAAUUCAUGUACGUCAUGUGUUUGUUGCAUGGCAAAUUUUCAAUAGAUUGUUCUCACAUCAUUUGAAAGAAAAGUGUAACAUUUCUCAGUAUUGAAUUUUUUUUUUUUUUUUGCCCUCCUUUCACUUUUUAGGUGUUUUUCGGAGCAUAUUAAAAUUUAUAUUAUUAAGACAUGUUAUUAUUUUACCACCUAACUUUUUCUGACACAUUACUUUACCACAAAAAAAAAAUUUAAUUAUUUUUUACACUUAAUUUUUUUUCAUUUUACUACUAAACUAUUAACUCUGUUAAGAAAUUGUUGAUGUCAAAAGUUUCAAGAAUUUUAGUGUUAGCCAAAAGUAUUAUAAUAUUUUCAAUUUUAAUACUUUUAUCAAUUGAUUAUUUUAGAUAUAUAUAUAAAUAACCAAUUGAUAAAAGCAUGAUCUCUUUGUAUAAAAAUAUUUUUUUUUUAUUUUUUUUAGUUUGGAAGAUUAAAUUUUAUUUACAUAGGUUAGGAGUAAAAGUAAACUUUCACUAUAAAUUCUAUUAAAAUUUCUAUUACUCUUAAUAGUUUGGUAGUAAAAUGAUAAAAAUAAAAACAAUAGGUGAAAGAAAGAAUAAUUGUAAAAAACAAUAGUAAUAAAGUGAUAUGUCAACAAAAUUUAGGUGGUAAAAAAAAUAAUACCCUUUAUAAAAAAAAAAAUCAUUUGGUAGCUGAAAACUAUUUUCUUAUCUCUAUAAUGUCCGAGUUUCCAUCAUUGACAUCUUAAUUUCUAGCUAGGACAAUUGAUGAGCAAGAAAAACAGAGGCUGCUAAUCCAAAUUACACCAUUUUAUUAAUUGCUAAACACAUUAAAUGAUGUCUUCGAACAUUUUAGCAUUUAUUGGUGCAUAUUGCAUGUUAAUUAUGAUUUAGACAAAUUUAAAUCAUGCAACCAGAUUCAUAUAAUGCACAUGCCAAAGCCAUGCCGAGAUCUAACUUACAAUUUCACUUUUCUCUUGUUUGAUGUCUUAGGAUUUAAUUGAGUACCUUUCAAGCAAUUUAAUUUAGCUUGUCAACCAAAUUCGAAUCCUAAGACAGUAAACAAUUUUUUGAAAAAAAAAAUUGAUUUGAACUUUACCCACCCCUCUACUUUUUAAAAUAAAAUAAAAAUUAAAAAUAACAGUAUAUUGAAAAUUAUAAUAAAACAAAAAUUAAAAAAAAAGUCCUAUCAUUUGAGAUAGAAUCUGUUGAAAAUUAUUUAUAAAGUGUCUUGUACGAAAUUGUCAAAAAUAGUAUUGGAUUUUUAUAUUUCCUUCAACUUUUUUGGGUUGAAAUAUGAGAAGUGUAAAAUUGAAAUUUUAAAGGAAAUUAUUUAUUCACCAACUUUGUUUUGUCAUAUGUACAUUUAACCACUACAAAAUUUUGACAUAUUCUUUGGAUCAUCAUUGCUUUUAAGCUUGUAUCAAUCAACUGCAUUGACACUAAAAAAUAACUAUUUUACCCAUAAAUAAAUUAAAAGAUCAUUUUAUUCUAUAAAAUUUUGAAAAAUAAAAAUUAUAAUUGUAAAAAUACCCCUAAAUUUAAUGAAAUAAAUAAAUCUCAAAUGCAGUAUGUGAAUUUUUUAUAAUUAUAAUUUCAUUUAAAAAUUAUCAUGUUAAUUUUUUGUAAUUAUAAUUAUAGGGAAGUUUACAAUAAUUAUAAGGAGCUUUUCUCUUCAUGUUAAUUUUUGUAAACUUCCCUAUACUUAAUUUAAUUAUAAAAAUUAAAUGAAAUUGUUAUUACAAAAAAUUAUAAUUAUAAAGGUGUUAAUUUUUUAUAAUUAUAGUUUCAUUAAAAAAUUAUCAUCUUAGAUUUUGAGAUUUAUUUAUUUUAUUGAAUUUAGGGGUAUUCUUAUAAUUUUUUACUUUUUAAAAUUUUGUAGAAUAAAAUAGUUUUUUAAUUUAUUUAGGGGUCAAAUGGUUAUUUUUAGUGUUAAAGUGGUUAAUUAAUAUAAGUUUAGAAACAAAUAUGAUGAAAAGAACAUGUCAAAAUUUUAUGAUACUUAAAUAUACUUAUGACAAAAUAAAAGUGGUGAAAAAAUAAUUUCUCAAAUUUUAAAUAACUUUCGAGGUAACUUAAUAGUUUAAUGCACAGCUUAGGGGAAAAAAAAAUUGCUGAGUUGCCAAAGCCUAACUGCCAAAGUAUUUGGUUACACCUUGGCAGUUAGGCUUUGGUAGCCCAACUGCCCCAUAUCAAUAGCAAAUUGGAACUAAGACAUGAUUUAAAAUGGGUCUUGCAACACAUUAUAAGCAUGAUUUAUAAUGUGUAUAGUAAACUUCAAUUUACCCCUUAUCUAGGAUGAUAGUCUUUAAUUUAUUUUUUAGAAAUGUGAAGAUAUCAAUUUGCUAUCAUUUAAUGUUAAGAAGAUUAGGGGAAAAAAAGGGUCAUCAAUGUGCCCAGUUUACCAUCAUCUUCUACAUAAAAAUGGGAAAUUAAUUGAAAUUUUUAUUUUUUUGAGAGAGAAAUUAAAUAUUGCCAUUCUAUUUAGGGGGUGAAUUAAAGUAUACCCAUCUUUUAAAUCCUAAGAAUAUUGUAUAAUGCAAAAGCUUUAAUUAAUGAGAGAAUCUUUUAGUGGGAGAAAGUUUGGAUUGAUGUUUAUAAUUAAACUAGGAAAUACAACCGCACUUUGUGCGGUUUUAAAAAAAAAAUUACUAUUAUCUUUUUUUUAUUACUUUGUAUUUGAUGAAACUGAUAAAAAAUAUGAUUUUUUUAAAAAAAAUGGCGCAACUUUAUAACACUAAUGUUAUUUAUGAAAGUUAAUUAUUUUUUUAUUAACAUUAAAAAUAUAUAUUAAUGUGUAUAGUUAUUGUAGACAACGUUUUCAUCAAUAAAAAUUAUGUUCACACUAAUCAACUCUCUAUUUUUCUUUGUAUUAACAUACUCCCACAUAUUACAAAGUCUAACCCUUAUCAUCCAACUAUCUUUAUCAUUGUUUAACUCACGAAGAAAAGAGUACUCCAUGAAGCACACAAUACUAAAAAUUUAAAUAAGUCAAAAAAUAAAAACACAAGAACAUUUCUAAAGAGGAUGUUGGUUAAAUAAUUAAAAAAAUCCAAACAUAACAAAUCUUAAAUGCUUAAUAUUUAUAGAGUUUGAAAAAGCCAAAAGACACUAAAUAAAAGGUUGCAUAAUUAAAUAUGAGAUUAUGACAUUAAAAUUAGGUCAUAGUGGCAUUGGUGAGGGAAGAUGAAGGAACUUUCCUUCCUAUAUUAAUUAGUUGAUUAAUUUUAAACUACUAAAGUUUAGUUGUUGGUUUAAUAAAAUAAAUGAAUGUUUCAAAACUUAUAAUUAAUUUAUUAUUUAUGGUUACAUAUUGUUGAAUUUAAAUAGAAAGAGGAAGAGACAUGUAAUCUUUUGCAAUCUAUUAAUUAUUUUCUAUUUUUAAUAUAUGCCACAAAUCUUAACUACUUAAUAUUUAUAGAGUUUGAAGAAGCCAAAGGUACUAAACAAAAGGUUGCAUAAUUAAAAAUGAGAUUAUAGCAUUAAAAUUAGACCCUAAUGGCAUUGUUGAGGGAAGAUGAAGGAACAUUCCUUCCUAUAUUAAUUAAUUGAUAUAUUUAAGCCACUAAAAUUUAAUUGUUGGCAUAAUAAAAUAAAUAAAUGUUUCAAAAUUUAUAAUUAAUUAUUAUUAAUGGUUACAUAUUAUUGAAUUUAAAUAGAAAGAGGAAGAGACAUGUAAUAUUUUAUAAUCUAAUAAUUAUUUUCUAUUUUAAUAUUUUGUAAUGUAAUUAUUUUUUAAUUUCAACUAAUUUAUUAGAUAAUAGAAAAUAUGAAAUGAUGAGAAAUGGUGAUGUCACAUCACCUCUUGUAGUCCCAACUUUAUAUAUAUACUAGGAAAUAGAAUCGCGCUUCGCGCAGUUUAAAAGACAAAUUCCGCAUAAAUAAUUUUAAUAUGAUUUUAAUCAAAUUAUUCUUUCAUCAAAUUUAACUACCCUCUAUUUUUUUAAUAAUUUACUUAUAAUACUUCUUUCUCUCUCUCUCAAUAAUAAUGAUAUAAAAAGUAGUAUAACAUUAUUUGAAGAAGGUGAAGUCACUUCUCAAUAUUGAAAAGAAAGAAUAAUAAUCUUGUUCAAAGAAUAAGAAUCUCGUUUUUAAGAGCCUUUUAGAACUCUUAAAGCAGUACCAAAAGUUCGAAUGAAAGUGUCAUCCUCUCUCUUCAAUAUUAAACAAUGAGAAGUGUUGUUUCCUUUGAAAAACCUUAGUUGGAGCCUUUAAGAUAAUAUUAUAUUGUUAUUUUUUUAAAUCUCAUUAUUAUAAAACAGAAAUAAGUGCUAUAAUUGCUAUUGUCUUGAUGGAAGAAAUUUAUUUUUUAUUUGAAGAGUUUUUUGAAAGAGUGUUUACUUUUUCACUCUUCUAUUUUCCACAUAAAUAAAUAAAUAAGCAUUUAAAAAAAAUAAAAUCAUUAGAGUAAUACUCUUAUUAAUGUGACUCUUCAAAUAAGAAGAUUUAAGAUGUUUUGUUCUAACUCAAAUAUUUUACCACUAAAACCACUUGUUCGGUGCUGAGUGUGUGUCCAAGAGUAAAGCUACCAUUCUUUCCCAAGUUGAAAUUACACCGUGAUUUUCUCCAAUUGUGUUUUCCCAACUUUAUUUGACCUGAAGAGUGAAAAAUUUCUUCCCAAUGGGGGAGCUCGAAAACAUUAAGAUUCGCAAAAUCUAUGAGCAACUUGUCCUAAUAAUCAUAUGGCCCGUCAUUAAUUACAUUGGGUUUCAUUUUUCUUUCGAUAGUCGUGUAAUGAUAAUACGCAGGACACUUGGGAAAGAGCGGCACACAAGUUUGUGAAUUCACGCACUCAUGCUCUCUUGAGUCUUGUCAUUCAAUGUUUGACUUCUUAAAGCACCAACGUCAGUCAAGUCCCAGAAAGAAGAGCCUGCAAUGGAUUCUUAAUUUUUAAAUGCGUAAUAAUACUAAUAAUAAUAAGGUGAGUUAUGUUCUUAUCUAAUUCUAGGAGAAAGAAAAGCCUGCAAUGGAUUCUUCAUCACAACGGUAACUUUUGCUUCUCAGUCAAAUCAACCUCAUCACCAUCCACAGCCUUCCACUUAAAAUUCCAAACCAAAUUAGCCACAAAAUACUCCAAAUGCAGCAUAGCCAAACCGAAACCGGGGCAGAUUCUCCUGCCAGUUCCAAAUGGCAUCAUCUUAAUUUCCCUACUCCCCGUUAUGUCAAAAUCUUGAUCAUGAUCAUUCAAAAACCUCUCGGGCUUAAAUCCCAUUGGAUCCUCCCAAACUUUCGGAUCCCAACCCAUGUUGCCCACCAUGAAAUUCACACUCCCGUCCUUUGGUAUCACAUACUUAUCAUCAAGCACGAAAUCCUCUGUCACAGCAUGUGGCAACACGAAAUGCCAUGGCGGGUGCCUCCUCAGUCCCUCUAAAAUCACUGCUUUCAGAUACGGCAUCUUCUGCAACUCCUCUGAUUUCCGUAUAAACCUUCUCUUGAACGUGCGGGUGCUUCACCAGAUUGCCAUUCGAUGUUUGACUUUUUCAAACUCUAUAUUUUUUAAUGUUCGGUUUUUUUUAUUAGAAUAAUUUGCAUGAGCAGUAUCAUUACUUAUUAUAUAGUAAUGGCAUUUCUAAAGAGGAUGUUGGUUAAAUAAUAUAAAAAAAGCAUAAGAAAUCUUAAAUACUUAAUGUUUAUAGAGUUUGAAGAAGCCAAAAGACACUAAAAAAAAGGUUGCAUAAUUAAAUAUGAGAUUAUCGCAUUAAAAUUAGGCCCUAGUGGCAUUGGUGAGAGAAGAUGAAGGAACUUUCCUUCUUAUAUUAAUUAUUUGAUAUAUUUUAAACCAAUAAAGUUUAAUUGUUGGCUUAAUAAAAUAAAUGAAUAUUUCAAAACUUAUAAUUAAUUAUUAUUAAUGGUUACAUAUUGUUAAAUAUAAAUAGAAAGAGAAAGAGACAUGUAAUCUUUUGUAAUCUAAUAAUUGUUUUCUAUUUUUAAUAUUUUGUAAUGUAAUUAUUUUUUAAUCUUAACCAAUAUAUUAGAUAAUAGAGAACAUAAAAAGAUGAGAAAUAAUGAUGCCACAAAUCUUAACUACUUAAUAUUUAUAGAGUUUGAAGAAGCCAAAAGGCACUAAACAAAAGGUUGCAUAAUUAAAUAUGAGAUUAUGACAUUAAAAUUAGGCCCUAAUGGCAUUGUUGAGGGAAGAUGAAAAAACAUUCCUUCCUAUAUUAAUUAAUUAUUGAAUUUAAAUAGAAAGAGGAAGAGACAUGUAAUCUUUUNNNNNNNNNNNNNNNUUACAUAUUAUUGAAUUUAAAUAGAAAGAGGAAGAGACAUGUAAUCUUUUGCAAUCUAAUAAUUAUUUUUUAUUUUUAAUAUUUUGUAAUGUAAUUAUUUUGUUAAUCUCAAUCAAUUUAUUAGAAAAUAGAGAAUACAAGACUGCUGUACCGUACAUCCGCCUUGGCCGUACAGCAGUACUUAGUUUCUUUUUGGAAUAAUCUAUCUGCUUCUAUUCGUCCUUGCAGAUUACUUUUGUUGAUGAUCAUUUCCAUCUUGGUUCUGAUUGGUUAAUAAUUUUGUUAUACUUCGUUCACAUGAAUAAAUAAAAAUUUGUCAAGAGAACAUGUGUGCAUUUUGUUAAAAUUUACAAGGGCAAAUCUAAAAGUCAAAUAAUAGGUAUGAAUGGAUCAUUUCGUUCCAUUUUCUUUUAGAGUACUACUGUCUUUAACUUCUCAUCAUGAAUUUAGGGUUGUCCAAACUUAUAUACUUAGUGGUUUCAAUACAAAAAAUAUUCAAAUUUGACAAGUGAUUAUCUCUUUGUAAUACUCUUAUGUCAGAUGGAUGUUACCACUCAGGGUCUCCACUCGGGAAAAAUUCUAGAAUACACUGUAAGUCAUAUAACAAGCAAAUGAUACUAUAACUUGUGUGCAUUUAUUUUGAAAAAUAUCUCUGUAGGUGAUGGUUACACUAAAUUCAAUUACACACGUUGUAUAUGCAUUAGUUGAUUGUAUUAUCUCAAAUGUAUUCUAUAACUCCUCCUUCACUUGUGCAUAAACCACCAAUAUUUUAGAUAUUUUAGAUAAUAGAGAAUAUAAAAAGAUGAGGUUGAGGGGAGAUGAAAGAACCUCUCUUCCUAUGUUAAUUAAUUCAUGUAUUUUAGGCCACUAAAGUUUAAUUGGUAGAAUAAUAAAAUAAAUAAAUGUUUCAAAAGACUUAUAAUUAAUUAUUAUUAAUGAUUACAUAUUGUUGAAUUUAACUAGAAAGAGAAAAAAAGUACAAAGAAUAUCCACCAAUAUUUUAGAUAUUUUAGAUAAUAGAAAAUAUAAAAAGAUGAGUAAUGAUAUAUAUUAAUAAAGUUAUUAUUUAUUAAAUGAGUUAAAUACAAUCAAAUUAAUUAUGAGAAGAGGAAAAGUCAAAUCUUAAAAAAAAAUUCUCUAUUUAUUAGAUAAUAGAGAAUAUACAAAGAAGCGAAAUAGUGAUGCCACAUCACAUCCUCAAGUCUCAACUUUAUAUAUAUAUAUAUAUAGAUAAGGAAACUACAAGUACGAAUUCAUAUGAUUUUUAUUAAUUAUAGUGCGGGUUAGAUUUCUAUGAUUUACAUUCAUAGGGACUGGCCUAAAUAAUUUCUAUUAUAAUACAAUUCUAUCCCUAAAGGAAGAUUUUCUACCUCUACAAUUUAAUUUGGGAAGAAAAUAUAUACAUAAUUGUAGACAAAUUACACUGUAAUGUUGGGAUUGUGAGAUCGCAAUAAUUUAAUUCAAUGAUAUCUUUGUCCUUAUCGUAUAUGAUCGACCUCUUAUAAGAUUCUCAAAAUUAAUUGGUGGAGUAGCGGUGGCCUGAGUGGUCACACAUGACCGCAAUUGAUAAGACAAGAUUAUAUUCGACUACAGGAAACGCAAAAGCAGUGAUUUGCUUCUAGAAGAUUGUUGGGAAGUUAGGAGUCCAAACUUAAUGAUAUGGUGAAAAAAAUUUGAUAAUUUGAAGAUUAACAGAUUCAUUAAUAGUUUAUUUUCAAUGCAGUCCUGGUAUCAAACGGGACACUCUCGUCAUCUAAAUUUAGUUUAAAAUGUAAAAUUAUUUCAAAAGUGAAAAUACCCAAUUCAUACUAAACUAAAAUAAAAUUUAAUUUAAGCUAGAUCAAUCAGUAAAAUCUAUUCAUAAUCGGUGCUUAAAAUACAAAUACGAAAUAAAUGUCAUCCCUUAUCUCUAUGGGAUUAAAAAUUUGGAACCAACCGGAUGAAUAAUACCAAGAUAUCAAAUCCCAUGAAUUGAGUCAAGUAGUGCUGAAAAUCCAAUUAAUCGUAAGGCUAAGCACAGAGAAAUAAACUUCCAAACCUCUCUACUAUUCCUACCAUAACUUUCACAAAAGGAAAAUGAUAGUUUUUAUGUGAUCAAAAAAGGAAAAUAUAUUUCUCAAUUAGCUGUAUGUAUCACGAUUGCUCUUAUAAUUUCAGAUUUGAACUCAUACUCGUUACAUCGUAAUUCAUUUGUGGUGGUAAUUUUGUUUCUGCUGGUUGAAUAAAAUUUCAACUUCAAAAUAAAAACGUACCAUAAAGUGUUUCUUAUAUAGAUAUAUUGCUUCAUCUUACAUAGUUCUUGCGACCACAAAUCUAAGAGAUUUUGGUAACUCACAAUAUUAGUACCUUCUCUCUACACGACUGGUAUCAAUCAGCAAAGACGAGUAAUAUUUUUAGUCAUUAAUUUCAAGCGAACGGUUAAAGUAUGGAUGGCCAAAAAAUGGAGCGCGUUCCUCCAUUUGGUAGCUCAAAUCAUUUGAUGAAGUGAUGUGCCAACAAAGGUUAGGUGGUAAAAAAGAAAAAAAAAACUUUAAAAAAAUCAUUUGCUAGCUCGAUACUAUUUUCUUAUCUCUAUAAUGUUCAAAUUUCCCAUCACUGACAUCUUAAUUUCUAGCUAGGACAAUUGAUGAGCAAGAAAAACAGAGGCUGCUAAUCCAAAUUACACCAUUUUAUAGUUUGCUAAACCAAUUAAACGACGUCUUGGAACAUUUUUAGCGUUUAUUGUUCCAUAUUGCAUGUGAAUUAUGAUUUAGACAAACUUAAAUCAUGCAAACAGAUUCACAUAAUGCACAUGCCAAGCCAUCCCAAGAUCUAACUUACAAUUUUACUUUUCUCUUAUUUGAUGUACUACGACUUAAUUGAGUGAUUUUGAAGCAAUUUAAUUUGUCUUGUCAGCCAAAUUCGAAUCUUAAAAAAGUAAGAAUUAAAAAAAAAAUUGAUUUGACCUUUACCCACCCCUCUUAUCUUUUAAAAUGGAAUAAAAGUUAAAAAAAAAAUUAACAUCAUUUUGAGAUAGAACCUCUUGAAAAUUAUUUAUAAGGCUUUUUAUAUAACUUGUCAAAAAUAAUGUUGAAGUUUCAUAUUUCUUUCAAUUUUUUUGGGGUUAAGGUAUGAUGAGGGUAAAAUUGAAAUUUUAAAUAACAUACAAGAGUAAUUUAAUGAUCUAAAUUACUAAAACCAAGCUACAAUGUGUAACUAAACACCUCGACAGUUGGACUUCAACAGCCCAGCUGCUGCAAAUUAGUCACAAAUAGUGUCUAAAGCAUAAUUUAAUAUGGGCCUUGCAACACAUUCAAAGCGUGAUUCAUUAUGUUUCUAUUAAGAAUAAACUUCAAUUUGCCCCCAAUUAUAAUUUUUAAUUUAUCUCUUAAAAGUAUGAAAACAUCAAUUUGGGUGUGGAUAUUUCCACCCCACUAUUUUUAUAAACCCACCAUUAUUUUAUAGAAUAACAAAUUAAUAAUAAGUUUAAUAAUUAAUUGAUUAAAUUAUUCUUAUAAUAUUUUUUCUUACUUUGUCUUUUAACAAUCUUUAACAAUUUAAGGUUGCUUUAAGAUAAGUUUUAUGUUAACUAAUUUACCCUUAUGAUAUAAAAUAACCAAAUUACUCUUAGAAAUAUAUAUUAUUGUAACUAUUUGUUUAGGCAUUUAGUUUUAUGUUUUAUAAUCUAAUAUGUUUUAUAUAAAAUUUAAUAAUUUUCAAUACUCCAGAUGUCCUAAUUACAUCUCGUUAGUUUAGUGGAAUAUUAAUAAUUAUACUAAAAAAGUGCUAUUUAUACAUCAUUAAAAUAAAAAAAUUAUAGAAAUUUAUUAAAGUUAAUAUAAUUCUUAUAAUUGUUUUUCUUACUUUAUCUUUUAACAAUCUUUAACAAUUUAAGGUUGCUUUAAGAUAAGUUUAAUUUAACUAAUUUACCCUAAUAAUAUAAAAUAACCAAAUUACCCUAAGAAACAUAUAUGUUAUUGUAACUAAUUGUUUAGACAUUUAGUUUUUAUGUUUUAUAAUCUAAUAUGUUUUAUAUAAAAUUUAAUAAUUUUCAAUACUCCAGAUGUCCUAAUUACAUCUCGUUAGUUUAGUGGAAUAUUAAUAAUUAUACUAAAAAAGUGCUAUUUAUACAUCAUUAAAAUAAAAAAAUUAUAGAAAUUUAUUAAAGUUAAUAUAAUUCUUAUAAUUGUUUUUCUUACUUUAUCUUUUAACAAUCUUUAACAAUUUAAGGUUGCUUUAAGAUAAGUUUAAUUUAACUAAUUUACCCUAAUAAUAUAAAAUAACCAAAUUACCCUAAGAAACAUAUAUGUUAUUGUAACUAAUUGUUUAGACAUUUAGUUUUUAUGUUUUAUAAUCUAAUAUGUUUUAUAUAAAAUUUAAUAAUUUUCAAUACUCCAGAUGUCCUAAUUACGUCUCGUUAGUUUAGUGGAAUAUUAAUGAUCAUACUAAAAAAGUACUACUUAUACAUCAUUAAAAUAUACAAAAAAAAUUGUAUAAAAAUUUAUUAAAGUUAAAGUAAAUUUUUAGAUAUUUUUGGUACUUUUACCUUAUGAGGUUAGAAUAAUUAUAUUAAUUUAUCUUAAAACAACCUUAUUGAUAAAAUAUAAUAAAAAACCUAGUCUCAUAAAAAAAAUUAAUGAAUAUGGAUUUAAUUGGUUAAAUUUUUAAAUUUCUUCUUAAUUUAAAUUUUCAAAAAAAUAAUGUGCACUUGUUGUAAUUUUUUUUUUAAAAUUGGGGUGGAAAUAUCACCACCCCAUCAAUUUACUUCAUUUACUGUUAAUAAGAUAGAAAAAAAUUAUCAAUAUACCCUCAAUUACUAUCAUCUUCUAAAAAAAGAGAGAGAGAGAGAGAGAUCAAUUGAAAUUUUCAUAUUUUUAGAAAAUAAAUUGAAUAUUGUCAUUCUAUUUAAAAAAUGAAUUAAAGUUUACUGUUUGUUAAAUUCUAACCAUAUUGUAUAAUGCAAAAGCAGUAAUUAAUGAGAGAAUUUCUCAGUGGAAGAAAGUUUAUAUUGACGUUCAUAAUUAGAAAACUACAAGUACUAACGUAUAUGAUUUUUAUUAAUUAUAAUGCGGGUUAGAAAAUAUAUACACAAUUGGGUUCCAAAACACGGUUGCGACUAGCAAUUCAUUUGUUGGAGUAAUUUUGUUUCUGCUGGUUGAAUAAAAUUUCAACUUCAAAAAAAAAAUGUACAAUAAAUUUUAUCUAAUAUAAAUAUAUUGCUUCAUCUUACAUACCUCUUAAUGACCAUGACCACAAAUCUAAGAGAUUUUUUAUUUUUUCUCUCUACACAAGACUGGUAUCAAUUACCAAAGCCGAGUAAUAGUUUUAGUCAUUAAAUAUCAUUAAUUUCAAACGAACGGUGAAAGUGUAAAUGGCCAAAAAAUGGAGUACGUUCCUCCAUUUGGUAGCUCAAAUAAUUCAAUAAAAUGACAUGUCAACAAAAUUUAGGUGGUUAGAAAAAAAAAACCUUUAAAAAAAAUCAUUUGGUAGCUCAGAACUAUUUUCUUAUCUCUGUAAUAUUCAGGUUUCCCAUCAUUGACAUCUUAAUUUCUAGCUAGGACAAUUAAUGAGCCAGAAAAACAGAGGCUGCUAAUCCAGAUUCCACCAUUUUAUUAUUUGCUAAACCCAUUAAACGAUGUCUUCGAACUUUUUUGGCAUUUAUUGGUCCAUAUUGCAUGUGAAUUAUGAUUUCGACAAAUUUGAAUCAUGCAAACGGAUUCACAUAAUGCACAUGCCAAGCCAUGCCAAGAUCUAACUUACAAUUUUAUUUUUCUCUUGUUUGAUGUACUACGACUUAAUUGAGUGGCUUUGAAGUAAUUUAAUUUAGAUUGUCAAUCAAAUUCGAAUCCUAAAAAAGUAAAGAAUUAAAAAAGAAAAAUUAAUUUGAGUUUUGCUCACCCCUCUAUCUUUUAAAAUGGAAUAAAAAUUAAAAAAAGUUUACAUCAUUUGAGAUAUAAUCUCUUGAAUUGAUACAUGUAUAAUGAAGUUUCAUUAAAAGGGAAAUUUUUGAACUACUUAACACUCAGAUAAUAAUGUCUAAUGAUUUUCUUCUUCCCUCAAGAUGGACGUGGUGGAAUGCUUUGCUCAUUUCCAAAUAAAUUACCGAGAUCCACCUCAGUUAUCACAUCCACCAACUUGUAGAAAUUGGAUCAGGAUUCUCUCCUGAUCUGAUUAUAUCCUGAGUAAAUAAUUCAAUUACUGAUUGGUAGUUAAUAAAUAAAAAAAUAAAAAAAGUUGAAUCUUACCGAUACACUACCACUAAAAGACACAUGGCAGAAGAUUUUGAAAAUCUCAGAAGAGAUCUGACUAGGAGAGGAUCAUUUUCUUUAUAAAUUGUUCUUGAAAUAUUUUUUUUCCUUAAAUGCUAGCUUCUUUGACGCUUGUGUAACCUUUGUUAUUUCUUCCGAUUUCUAGAUCCCUGACGUUAAGAUAUGUUGCUCUAGGGUUUUUGGAAACAUAUGGAGUCGUGUAAUUUGACAGCUUUCUGACCAAAUUAGGUUCCCUUUCCGAUUCUUCUCCACUUCUCCAUUUCGUAGUACAUCCAAUGGUAUAUGUUGCCAGCUCUAUGCGGAAAUGAGAUUGCGGAUUCUGGAAUCUUAGCCAGUUUCCCACUAUAAGGAAAAGCCACUACCUGAAGGUUCUUUCCUCCUUGUUCAUGAAAGAAAUCAUACAUCCCUUCCAAGCCUUUUACAAGAAUCGGUUUCAUUACAAAGUCGGCUCUCAUUUUCCAAAAGCUCUUGGAAUAAUUCCUAUCAAGCAAUGUUUCCAAUUUCAGUAAAUCUUUUGCCAGGAAUCCUCUGUCAAAGUAAACGAUUGAUUCAACCCAGCUCAAUUCCAUGCAGUCUUCUUUCUUCAAUCCGAGCUCCGGUAAGGACUUCCAUCAAUUUAAUUAUUGUUGUACGUGAAAUGUGGAAUCAAGCACACUAAAUAAUUAUAAAAAAUAAAGGACAUAAGAAUUUAACAUGGUUCGGCUAUUAUGCUUACGUCCACGGGAGUAAAAAAAAACAAUGUUUCAUCAAUAGUUAUUAGAGUAAAAUUUUGAGUAAAGGAACCUCACUUUCCAUAACUCAAAUACACCCCGUACUCUUACACUCACUUGAAAAAAAAAAUCUCUCAAUUGCUCGCACUCUUCGAUCGCUCACUCAUUAAAAAACUCUUCACCUGAAUUAUUUUCUGAAUUUUGGAAUGCAUGACAAUUGAGAAUUGCUUCUCUAUUUAUAGGAGGUCUUUGCCAUUUAAGAAUUGAAUAAUUCCUUCACAGCCGCUCCACUCCAUAAUUGUUUGUCGGCCAAUUUCUAAGCCCAUGCACGCAUAUGCUUUGCCCAUGGUCAACAACCCACUUUCUUCACUUUUAGCAUGCUAUUGUUAGCCACAAGUUUUGACUUUUCAACAAUUCACCACAUCGGUGAAUAUUUGUCUAAAUUUGAGCCGACUACAACAAACAAUCAUCCCUAAAGUGAUCCUCCAUAAAGGAUCCAAAAUGGCUAAGUCGCUUUGACUGCCUACGUACCAAAAAAUUAGGAUCAAGCCAACCAUAGUUCAAAAUUUUCAAAACUCAACACAUUCGAAGAAUUUGAAUUAAUUUUAAGCAAUGUUGAAACUAACUUCAGAAGUAACAUUUGUCAACAUAUCUGAUGGAUUACCUUUGGUAUUGAUCUUUUUCAAUAAUACACACCACUCUCAAUAACUUCCCUCACAUAAUGAUAUUUUGCAUCUAUAUGUUUUGUUUGAGCAUGAUAUAUUUUAUUUUUUGCAAGGAAUAUCGCACUCUUGGAUUACUCCCAAAUCACCUAACAAGUCUUUCAACUAGAUAGCUUCCUUUACAGUCUCAAUUGCUGCCAUUUGUUCUGCUUCCGUAGUGGAAAAAGUAAUUGUCGAUUGUAGAAUCGACCUCCAGCUGAUCGGACCUCCAACCAAUGUGAAUACGUAGCCCGUUGUUGAUCAGCCCUGCCAAGAAAUAAUGACGAAAACAACGCCAAUAUACUUGAAUUCUUCACGGCAAAGAUAGCACUGCAAGUUAAAUCUUCCGGAAGCUUAUCGGCAGCGGACUGCCAUUUCUGAAAGAUCUUUGUUGCAUCUUGUUCCAGGGUUCUAGUGACUGUAUUCACAGUCACAUUGGACGGUACCGGUACUAGGUUUACUUUCCAAGCCACAAUGAUCCCAAAGCUGGCUGCUCCGCCCCCAUGAAGGGCCCAAAAUAGAUCUUCUCCCAUUGAUUUUCUAUCAAGGAUACUGCUUUUAACGUCGAUCAAGUGAGCAUAUCAAUUACUGGGUCAGCUGAAAGGCUAAAACUCCUCCACUGAAGUGUCCCCCAACACCUACCGAACUCCAGCAGGAAAGCCAAGAUACUUACUUUUCUCACUAAUUCUAUGAUAGAGUUCACCAAUUGUGACACCUGCUUGAACCCAUGCUGUUUUUUUCCUCAGCAUCAACUUGGAUCGACCUAAGGUUUUUCAGAUCGAUCAUGACAAAUGGUUCUUCACCAUGAUAAGAGAGACCCUCAAGAUCAUAUGACCUCCACUUCGAACUCUAAUUCGUAGGCCAUGUUUUUGGGUACAUUUAAGGGUCGCUCGAAUUUGGGAUACUUGAGUUGGUGUUAUAAUGACUUUUGGUUUCGGGUAUGUUGGCGCAAAGAAGAUAAAAUUUGGUUUUGCAAUUAUUUUUUUUUUUGAACUUGGUUUUGCAAAUUUUAAUAUUGAUAAAUAUGAAGAGUGAUUUUGAGUGUAUGUCACUUCCGGUAGAUCAGAAAGGCAAUAGAUGCUAUUCCAUCAAGUGAUAUCACUUCCAGUAGAUCAGAAAGGCAUUGCAGAAAUUUUUCUUGACGGUAAGCAGAUGCUACUCCAUCAAGUGAUGAUAAUAAAAGGAUGAAAGUAAACCAGAGAAUUAUUCUAGUGCUCUCAGGCUUCUUCCUUUUUUUUUUUUUUGGCUGGUAAUUUUUUUUCUUUUAUUCUAUGAGUGCA
rnacentral:lncRNA from 1 species